AAGAAGCUGAAGGCAAAGAGAGAUAAGAGGAAACAAGAAGAAAAGCUUAUGGCUGUGGUCAACCCAAUGCGGAACGCAAAGAGGAAAUUGAGGAUUGCAGCCAAGCAUCGAGCUCACAAGAAAAGGAAAAUAAUGACAAUGAAGAUGGGGAGAUGGGUUCGUUAAAACUCGGAAAAGAGCCUUUUGAUUGUGUCUAUAGGUUGCUUGUGCUCAGAUGAUGCUCUUUUCUGGCUCCUUCCCUGUCUUCUGAGUAGCAUAUAUAACCCUUCACAAGUACUCUGCCUGAUGUACAGAUGCAAUUGGCUGCAAAAAUCCACAAUGGAAGGCAUUCACUCAUUUUGCCAGUAGAGGGAGCCUACAAAAUGGUGUGAGCUGGCUGCAAUACCCCCAUCACUCUAUACCCCCUUUUUUAGUUGUUAAUUUCUGUAAAUAUACAAAAAUAUGUACUCAAAUUCAAAUACAAAUUCAAGUUCUGAGGAAUAUUCUUAUGUAUCAAAAUUUUGGUAAGAGGUCACACAGAGGUUAGGGUUGAGGUUCCUUGCUUUGCUUAUUUUAAUUAUUUCAAGUCCAAGGGUUUAAUGCUUCUUGUCUUUGAAUCUUCAUUUUUCUUUUCCUUAUGUUUGUUUCCUGUUUACAUACACAACAAUAUAUGUCAUUAAUUUAUUUUGUGAAAUAUAGUUAACAAGUUCUGCAACUUAAAUUAAGUUAUUAAGCCAUUAAUGAUGGGUUUGAUAAAUUAAUUUUAUGAUUUAAUGGUUUAAUUUAAGUUUUUAAGUAUGUCAAGCAUGUUUUGUAAAAUACUAUUCUAUAAAUCAAGUUAAUAAUUUAAAGUGGUUUAAUAACUUAAUUUAAGUUAUUAAGUAAACUGAGUAUAUUUGGUAACAUAAUUUAAUGAUAAAAACAAUUUUAAGUACUAAGUAAAAACAAUUAAUUUAUUUUAAAAUUCAUAUUUUUCUUUUUCUUUUUUACUCUCAUUUAUUCUAAUUUUAUUCACUAUAUCUUUUGUUACUCUAUGAUCUUUAUUGUUAUUUGACAUAAUUUUACUCUAAUUAUAAUUUAUGAGGGUAAAAUUGUCAAUUUGAUGAUUUAUAAUAAAUUUUAAAUUAAUUUUAUCAAAUAACAAUUAAGGAAUAAGUUUUAAAUCAACAACUUAAGUAUAAUUUAACUUAAUGUCAAUUUAAAUAUUGUAAUAAUAUAUAAUAUUAAAAAAAUUUAAUAUUAAAAUUUUUAUUCUAUUUUUUUAUUAUUUUAAUAAAUUAAAUAUGAACAUAACAUAAGAUAACUCAUUGGAUAUAAAUACCUUAAGAGAUUAUUUUAAUAAAAUCAUAUUGAAAUGUAAAUAAUAUCUUAAAAUUGAUAUAAGAUAUAUAUCCUAUUUGAGAUGCAAACCUUAAAAUAGAUAUAUAUAUAUAUAUAUCCUAUUAUAUAUCUUAUCCUACUAUAUACCCUCUGUUUCUUUAUUCUUCUCUCUUAUCGUAACACUACAAUUACCGCAUAGGGCAGGACAGAUUGUUCAAUUUCCCCUCUUGACUGCAUGGGUUAUGCAUUGCAAAUUUGCCAUCAAAGGUUCAACUUCCAGCCCCAUUAAUUUAAUCCAAUAUUAUUUAUAUAUUUUUACACUUAAAAAUUCUUUUUUAUUUUUACUUUUAAAGUCUGAACAGCCGUUUUAAAUUAAUUUAUUUUAAUUAUAAAAUAUAAUUAUUCCAAUUCUAUUUUAAUUUAUUUUUAUUACUGAUCAUUAUUAGUUUCUGCUUUCAUGGAAAGUUAAUAUUUCCUAGUCUAACGUUAACUUUCCAUGAAUGCAGAUAAUUGUUUUCAUUCUAAAACGUGCACAGUACUGGGAGAGAGAGAGAGAGAGAGAGAGAGGGAAGGAGGCAUGAGAAAGGGAGGCAAGAGUUGGUUGAAUUUGAAAUGGGUUGAAAGGCAGCCCAUGAAGGUAAAAAUAUUGGUGGGUGUACUGAUCCUAGGGUUUUGUUUAGUGGGUUUGAGGCAUCUCAUGAAAUAUGACAAUGGCUUUCCUUUGUUCAUGGCCUCCCAAUUCAUCCAUCUAUCUGGGAUCAUCAUCCUCAUCUUCAAGCUCAUCAAAACCAAGACCUGUUCUGGUACUUCCAUUUUUUCUUCUGCUUUUUACUUUGAUCUUAAUUUCAACUAUUUGAUUGCUGUCAAUUGUGUUAUAUGCUUCUUCUUAUUAUUUCUUUUAUUGACUUGUUUCUUAUCAUUGUUUAAAUUAUAAUUUGAAUGAAUAUUUAAAAUUAUAUUAAUCUUUUAUUUUGUUACAAAUGAAAAUAAAAUAAGAAUGAUAGGGAGGCUUACAUUUCUCAAUGAUUGACGACUUUUUAGAGAGAAAUAAUAGGACCUUUCUUAAAAAUAAAUUCAUUGAGAAAAAAGUUGGAAGUAAAAAUAAAACUAAUUAUACAAAUAUGUACAAUGAUUAAAAUUAAAACAUUAGCUAGACUUAAAAAUUAUUUUUAAAAUAUAUUUAAAAAUAUUAAAAACAAGUUAAAAACAUUUUAUGUUUUCAAACAUACUUUUAUUUUACAAAAUAUCAUAAAAUAGUUUUCAAAAACAGUUGUCAAACAGAUUCUAACUCUUCAUCCUUUUUUGUUCACAUUUUAACUAGAAUACCCUCAUUCUUUUUCUUUUUCUAUAUUUUGUAAAAAUAAAUCUUUCUUUUAAAACUUAUAUAUAAAUAUUUAAAAUAGUUAUGGACAUCUAUAUUAUAAAUAACCCAAAUAAAAUCCCACUUAAAACAACGCUUAUAAAAUAAGUGAAAAUAAUAUAAAACAUCUUGUUUUUUGUUCUUAAAGAUAUAAAACAAAAAACAGUUUUUGGUUGUCAAACGUGUUUUCCUAUUUUUUUUUUUUUUUUUGUCGUAAGAACAAAAAUCUAUUCUUAUCAAAUAAGCCUUUAAAUUCCUAAAAUUGAGUUUUCAAUAACCCUUUUAAUCAAAUAACCCUUAUUUAAAUACAUAACUCUCAUGUCCCAAAAUAAAAAUUUAAGUGUCAAUUAAUUUUUAAAAUAUUUAUACAAUUUUUUUUUUGGAUAAAUAUUAAUUUAAUUUUUUGAUCAAAAUAAAUAUGUACUAAGAAAAAUUUAAGACACUUUCAAACAUAAACUAUAUCAUAUAUACCAAGUUUAUAUGACAUCUUGUGAUGACUUGAUGAGAAUAAUUUAUUUUUUUAUCAAAAUAAAUAUAUUCUAAUAAAAAUUUAAGGCACUUUCAAACAUAAAUUAUAUUGUAUAUACCAAGUUUAUAUGAGAUCCCAUGAUGAUUUGAUGAGAGAAUAAUUUUUUUUAUCUUUCUUCAAACUUCGUUAGAGUUGAGUUUGAGUGAGUAAGUGGGUUAACAUGAAACCAUCCAAUAAAUGAGAAAAUAGAGGAACAAUUUUUAAAGGUUAUAAAAUUACUCAAAAUUGUCACUAUUAAACAAACAGUUUUUUUUUUCAUCUCUCUAGGAGAACUCUCUUUUCCUAAAAACCAGAAAAAGAAAAAAUGUGUUUCUCUUCCCUCCCCAAAAACAAACAAAGAAUACAAUUCUCUUUUUGAACAAACAAAAGUCUUUUCUCUUGAUUUUUUUUUUCUCCUAAAAGUCCGAAGGUUAAGGCUGUUGUAUUGUGAAAAAAAAAUGUUCUCUUAAAAGUGAGAAAAAUGAUUAGUGAAACAAUCACUUGGGAAUCUUGGGUAUUUCAGAAGGUGAUUAAUGAAACAAUCUCUAGGGAUUUUUGAGCAUUUUAGAAGUAACCCAUAAUCCGUAUUGUUUUGAAUGAGGAGUGUUUUUGAAAUUCACGUAUGGAGCAAGUAGAUUAUGGGAUAUACAUAUAUAAUUCCUAACUCGAUCUAGUAUUGACUUCAGGGCUUUCCCUAAAAAGUCAAGAGCUGACCGCUAUAGUCAUGGCAACAAGAACAUAUUGCAGUUUUGAAGUAGAAGAGCAUGGUUUAACACUACUAGGCUCUGCUAUAUUUCUUUCUACUCUUUGGGUCAUUUAUAUGAUCCGCUUCAAGUUGAAGCCUACCUACUCUAAGGAACUCGACAGCAUGCCCCUCUAUUCUAUGGUAAUUAAACCCCCCACCACCCUCCAUCCCCUUGCUUUAUUUUCUCUCUCUCUCUCUCCAUGCUACUGUUUGAACUUUCAGGUGGUGCCUCCAGCUAUCCUUGCUGUGCUAAUCCAUCCUCAUAUCGAUCACAGACUCCUCAUCAGAAUAGUUUGGUCUUUCUCUCUCUACUUGGCCGCCGUCUCUGUGCUUCCUCAGCUUCGUUUAAUGCAGAAUGCAAAGGUUAAUUAAUUAAAUUUGUUGAUCCAUCAUCCAUUGAGAAGGUAAAUUGAUUCUUUUCAUCUUUUCUUCAUCUCCUUUCAGAUGGUGGAACCCUUUACCGCAUAUUAUGUGUUUGCAUUGGGCGUGGCAAGAUUUCUCAACUGUGGUUCUUGGAUCAUUCAUGUGAGCAGCUUUUCCACCUCUUUUUUCACACUACAUAAAAUAUUAUCAAUAUAUUUUCAAUUAAUGUCAUGCAGAUUUAUGAGACUGGGGGACGGUAUUUAAUGUUCUCCGGCAACUGGACGCAGUUGUGGGUUCUGAUGGUUAUUCUCUCAGAAUUUGUUCAUACCUUUAUCUUGGCUGAUUUUUGUUACUAUUAUCUCAAAAGGUAACUAAUUAGACUUAACUUUUCAAAAUACUCAUCAAUAUCAAUUUUCAGUCUUAAGUCUUAAGUCUUAAGUAGCAGCAGCAUCAUGAUCAGUGAUCACUAAUUGGUUGAGACUUUGUGAUUUGUAGUGUCAUGUAUCAGCAGCUGCUUCUGGAGCUCUCUUCAUCCUCCUAUUCGCUUGGAAGGGGAAAAAACAUUUGAUGUACCCUAUUUUUUUUUGGCUAUAUUCUUUGUUUUUUUUUUCUUUUUUAACUCUGAAUUUACACACCUGGUGGAAUAGGCCGUUGGUUAUCCAAAUUUUUUUCCUUUUUUUUUUCUUUUGAACUUGAUAGAGAGAUUAAAAUGCUUCUUAUACAUAAAUGUUAAGAGACAAUUUUUGCUAUAAGGUAAAGAAAAACUAAUAAUGUGUGGGUCUAAAGUACUUAAAGCUUGUAAAAUUGGCAUCAAGUUCUUAACAUAUUAAUGGACUUUAUACCUUUCAGUAUUGUGAACUAUGUGGUUUAGUGGUUUCAAGGGCCAGGAUUUGACUAUAAGCCUUAUAUAAGUCCUAUCAACCUUUCUACAACCCUUAUAUACUUACAUAUGUCAUUCUAAUAGAUUACACAACAACCUUGAAUCGUAAUGGAGAAUAAGACAAUCUAAAAAAGUCCUAUAUCAAAAUGAAUGGAACAAAAUUGCCAACUUAAAUUACAUAGCAUUAUAUACCAAUAAUCUCUCCUUUUUGCAAUUUUGUGACAAAAUAAAGAUUACAUAAACACUCCAAUACUCUUAAUCAAAGUUUACAAGUCUCUCAAUACCUCUUGUCUCUCGUCUAAACCAAUUCAUUAUGUAAUGUGCAAAAAACCAUCCACUGCAUCCAAAAGUGAGCAAUACUCUAAUACUUGAGACCUAUACACACCAACCAACCACAUAUCCAUGUCAAGCAAAGUGUGGAAAAAUAGCUUAUAAAUUCCAUCCAAUCAUGGUAAAGAGAAAUGGAUGUGAGUAAUGCAUGUAAUGGAUAUUCAUAAAAUUAAUAAAACCAAUGAUGAACCAUCUGCCAUUUUUUUGUCAAAAAAAAAAAAAAGAAGGAAAAAUGAAUAAGAUAAAACAACAAAAGAACGUAAGAGAGAGAGAGAGAGAGAGAGAGAGAGAGAGAGAAAUAGAGACAAUGAAGAAAAAAGAUAUUAAGUACUUGAAAGCUCGAUACUUCAAAUCAAGUGAUAAGAACAAUUUGAAUGCUCCUUUAAAUGUCUGAAACAUUCUAUUUGACAUAAAUAACCCAAAAAAUCACACCCUUAUGCCCCAAAAAUGUUUGGAAAAAUAUUAGAGGUCGACAAAUACAACCCAAGGCUCUAGCAAACCAUAAAAACUUGAGUUGUUAGCAUAAACAAAAAUAAAUCAAGUAAUUAGUUAUACAAUCAAAACCCAAGAUUUCAAGAAUGAAUCAGCAUUGUCUAGAGAAAGUCAUUAAUAAUGAAAUCAACCUUAAAAAAUAUUUUAAUAUGAAACAAAGUAUGGUAGGACUAAAAUAAACUCAAGGCAUUGAUUAUCAAGGGUAUCAACUUAUUGUCUAAAUUACAUAUUUCAAUUUUAAAUUUCGAAAGAUCACUAAAUCAUGCCGAAACUCUAAUUUAUUCAACAUUCGGUCAAUUUGAACAUAGUUCGUCAAAUUUUUGUUUAACAUAGAAAAUGUGAUCUACUUACAACACAAUUUUUUUUCUUUCCUUUAGUUAGAUAUCAUCAAUUUUCUUUUAUUCCUUUUCUUUUUUUUUUCUUUUUUUUUUAAGUGGAGGCAUUGUACAACAUAUAUGGAAGACACACUUUCAUUUAUUGUUGCCUAAUUCCAAUGUGGGGUUGUUUCCAAAUUUUGCAAGUAAUGACAUUAGUUUCUUGAAAAGAAUAUUGAAUUUAUUUUAGCUAAGAUGUCAAACAUCACUUUGGAAAACAAUUUUAAAACUAAGUCAAACAUGAUAUGUGAAUUUAAUUUGAAUAAACAUGGUGUUCGUUACUUCCAAAAGCUCAAAAUCUACUCAAUCAAUUAAAUUUAAGAAGAUUCUCUAUCGCUCAAUUUUAAAAUUUAAAAGUGGCCCAAACCAAUGCUAAGCAAAGGCGCUCAAUCAUAACAUAUCUCAUCUCAUAUCCAGCAUCCUCUUGCUCAAAUAGUAAACAGCUCACUCCUCCCCUUAGUCAUUGAGCUAAGCUAACAUGCAUCCCAAGGCCAUAUUUGAAGCUAAAGAGUAUAGAAGCAGUGGUUAUCCUAGUGUGGGAGGCACUAAAACUAGAGGAGAAAGCAAAUACUCCUUAAUCCUGUCGAAAGCAUGUUGGCAAUCAUCAUUCCAUAUUGUAGGCUAAUUCUUCCUCAAAAAGCAAAACAUAGUGUAGACUCUCCAUUUUGUCCUCCUAGCACAUGUCAUAUUAUGUGUUCGCUUGGUACUUUACAACAAUUCCCUGGUGGCCCAUUACUGUUCAUGUAGUUUAUCUUUUCUAAGCCACCUUGGAGACUUUGGUUGAGGGACUCAUCUGACCCCAUUGUGAUUCUGGGCAGUCUUAAUUUAUACUUAGGUUUUUUCCUUCCUUGUUAGGCCCAUUUAGGUGCAUUUGACCCAUUAGGCACCACCUUAGGCCCACUUAGGCAUCCUAAGUCCAUUUAGAUGCACUUGGCCCAUUAGGCACCACCUUAGGCCCACUUAGGCACCUUAGACCCACCUAGACACAUCUGACCCACCUAGGCACAUCUGAUCCACUUAGGCACUUUCUUGGGUUUAGUUUCACUUAGAUUUGUUUUCUUGUUUUUCUUUAUUUAUUUAUUUUAUUGAUUGAUUUUAGGAUUAAGUGAGUUUUGAUUUAUUUUAUCUUGUUUCAUUAUUAUUAUUAUUUUUAUUUUAUUUAUUUAUUUUAUUUUGUGAUUGCAUGAAAUGAAUUUUUUUAUUUUUGGUGGUUUGAGUUUGACACUUCGAUUAUUAUUAUAUGUUGCAUUAGUUUAAUUUCUUUUGUUAUUAAAUAUAUCUAAUAUCUAUUUAUUUAUUUAUGUAUUAUACCUUUUAUCUAUUUAUUCAUAUUGUCUUAUUUACUUAUUUAAUCACUUCUUCAAAAUUUAGUGAAACCAAUGUUGACUUUUAAUCACUUGAAUUGUUUCGACUUUAGAUAUGCACGAGAUUGCCUAACUAAUUUUUAAUUGAAUAAUCUUGUUCUUUUUAUCCUCUUUUAUUUUAUUUAUCUUCAAUCUCAUAAUUUUAUUUCCUUUCUUUCUUUCUUUUUAUUUUUAUUUUGCAUGAGGAAAUGGGCUGUCAUCUAUUUGGAAGGAGGAUCACCAAAAUUUUCGAGAAAGGAAAGUGGUUAUGCAUUGGAGAAUUUAUGGGAAGUAAGGGCUACCAUGAUUUUGGAGAAUUGUGAUUUAUGUGCAGUUUUGAAGUUUACAAACGGUUGGUUUUAAGGGUACAGUUGGUGUCAUCAUAAGCUCUCAUGAGUUGCCUUUACCAUAUCAUAUUAAAGCUUCUUUUGGGUUGUUUUUGUGACUAUUUUUUGGUACACUAAUGGACCACACAUGGGCUGAAUCUGGGCGCUUUUGUAGGCUGAAUUUUUAAUAAGGAAAUAGCGUGGUUGUAUGAGAUAUUUUUUGGAGGACAGAAUCAUGCAUUCCAUAUAUUGGCAACCACACUUUUCAUACUAGAAAAAUCCAUGCACCAUUGCGACUGGGGAAGCCACACACUUUUCAAAUAAAAAGAAGGCAACUUGCACAUGUAUAAAAAGAAUACACGGACCUUUGAAAGGAAAAUUACCAAAGUUGUUUUGGUAGAGGAAAAGGAAAGGUUCACUGUGUAUUUGGACGGACUGAAGGCUAUGUUUAGGAAGAAGGGUUCUGAUCAUGCUAGACUAACGCGGAUGAUUGAGGCUCUCCCCGGGCUGGUAAGUGAUAUUUCCAUGUUGGUAAAGUCAAUGGGAAGGAGUGUAGAGGUGCAUAGGGAUGGAAUGUGGGCUAUGUGCAGAGAAGGGAGAGUUCUGAUCAUGCUGGACUGAAGCGGGUGAUUGAGGCUUUCUUCGGGAGUUAGCUUCCCAUGUUGGUAGAAAACGGGAAAAGGAAGAAAAUGAGGAGUAGAGGGGACACGAGGAGCGGUAGAAAAAAGGGAAGUGGAGGUGUAGCGGUACCAUUGAGAAAAAAAUUUCAGCACGUGAAGAGGGCUUUGAAAGUUUGGUUUUCUGGGAGAGGUGGCACAAUUUGUAGCAGAAAAACGGGAAGUGGAGGUGCAGCCGCACCUUAGAAAAGAAAAUGUACAACCGCAUCUUAGAAAAGAAAAGGUGCAGCCGCACCAUUCUGAAGAAAAUGAGAGAUAGCGGGCUGGUGAUGAACAGGACACUGGUUUUGGAGGAUAGGUGGGUUCCAACUCAGUCGCACCAUUGAAGCUUCGGGGAAAGCAUGACUGCCUUUGAUACCACGCACCAUUCGGAUUGUUUUGGAGCAUGCAUUACCGGUUGAUUUUUUAUUCAUCCUAUCAUCCACACAGCUGCCACUUUGAGAAGCAUACAGUUCACACACCUAGCCGGCUAGGUAAGCUACUCCUUUUAUAUAGGCUUUCUUAAGUUUGGUUUCAUUUCUAUUUGGAUUCAUUAUGUUGAGUUGAGGGGCUUUGAUUUUUUUUAACUAGUUUCAGUUUAGAUUUGUUUUAUCAAGCAAUGGCAGCCAAAAGAUGGAAGCCAUCAUUUGAAAGGGAAGGUUUCCAGGUUGAAGCUAAUGACGUUAAAGUUGGAAAGAGAACAAGGGUUUAGAUCUUAACGUGGGUCUUGAAACGUAAGACAGUUCCGUUUAGACAAUCAGAAACCAGUAGACACUCUAAACAUGUACGGUAGUAACAGGAAGAUGACUUUAUGGGUAAUGGUCUUGGAAUAUAGGAUGUCUUGCAUUAUCGUGAGUUGAUGUUAAUCAGUUUUAUCAAUGUUUUCUUUCUAGGACCUGACCCAAUUCUGUUUGACUGAGGGUUGAUCCAAUUUCAGCCGGAUUUCUUCUAGGAACUCUAUAUUGUCAACAAUUAGGCUUAACGUGAUUGUAUUGUCCGUCAUACUUCUAAAAAAGGUAUAAGAACCUUAAACCCAGGAAAUAUUUGGUCGGUAUACACAUCCUAAUCACCAACUAACAACCAGAAUAUGUACUAAGAUCAUUACGAUAAGCUGAAGUGGGAUUUUCUUGUCACUGAUCCAUGGCCACAAAAUAAGAACAUGCGUUCAUCUUUGAAAUCAAAUGAAUUUCAAGAAUACUACUGUGAUUUGACUUGUUACUGAUUCAUCUCCACAAAAUGGAUGGUAAUCUCUAUGGCUCUUCAAAUGACACGUGCUCCCUAAUCCCAAUUCCCUUUUGGUUGCAUAUACCUGACUUCUUCUUAGUGGAACCAUCAUCCUCUUUGCUGUCUAGGAUAGGGGGUACUUCAUGGGAUCCACUAAAAUUCCUCUUCAAUUCUUUGAUAACAUCAAAAUUCCAACUGCCCAUUGUGAGUUUAGUGUUGAUUUUAUAAAUCUGAAUUUUAUACCUUGUGAGGACAUUUUCCUAACGCAAUAGCAUAGCCUUUUGGGAGGACAAUUCUAGUGGUGCAAAAAUUUUCAAAAUUUUUUUUUUCCUUGCUGCCAGUUUUCAUUCAACCACUAACCCUUUAGUGUUAAAAUUCGUUACAAAAACUUUAGAAUAUUUUUAAAAAAUUUCCAAAGCUUGUAUGACUUUCUUCACUCCUUGAACUUGAAUUUAAAGUUUUGUUUGAGUUAGAAAACGAUUUUAGAACAGAAAAUAUAAAUGAGUCUUUAGGGGGGCUCUGUUUUCACCCAGUUCUGGACACCCGAGAUCUUUUUACAAAACUAAAAUAACAGACGACUUUAUGAAUUUGAUUUGAUAUUUUUUCUUAAUUAUAGGCUUUUUUGAGGGAGAUAUGAUUUCUCAAAAUCAUACCUACUGCACAUGUUGGAUUCUUGAUAUCUGAUUAGCUUAAGUGUUUUAAAAAAUAUUUUUGAGUACUAUCCGACCCUGGAUUCAUUUUUUAUGUGAUAUAGACACUUUGAAAUAUGUGUGUGAUUUUUUGUAUGAUUUUAUGUGAUCAUUUAUUAUUUUUUAAAAUUUGUUUAUGCAUGUCAGUCUUUCUUAUUUAAUCUGGACUUUGUAGAACCUUUAGGUGUCUUUGCUACAAUAUGUCCUUUGAAUGAGUGUUUUGGCCUUCAGUAUGUUGAUCUAGAUAUGUAGGAGUUGUUUCCUGAAAUUUUUCUUAAUUAAAUUCCACUCUAAGCCAUUUUUAGAAAUUGUUUUUUUUAUGCCCCCUUUUAUAAUUGCAUGCUGAUGAUCUUGUACAUUGCUUGAAUUGGUUAUUUAUUUUUGGAGUCAUUUGACUUACCUUGGCUCAAUUUUGGCUUUGGUACUGUGUAUUAGACACAAUGAAUAUGUUAUAUAACUCAUACUUGUCCUAAUCACUCUAUCAUUUUUGGAGGAAUCUUAUAAAUUAUGCAUGCUAUCCAGGAAUGCUCUGUAUCACUUACUUUUCGAAAUUUUAUGAACAUGAAUGUUAUUGUGAGUCUUAUUUAUGCUUUAUGCGAUCCUUGUGUGCUUAAAUGUAUGCUUGAUUUGCUUGGAUAAAACACAUGUUGUGUGCUAUAUUUUCAAACUAACCAUUGAUGUUUUAUGAUAGCGCUUAAGAAGUAGUUCAGGUACCCACCUUAAAUCUUCUUUAUGAUUUGUGAUUGGUUUUUCUUGUUUGGUAUGUUAUUGUUUAAAUCACCUAGCCUACGUAGGUAUCCAUGAUCAAAUAAUUAAUUGUCACAUUUCUCUCAACUUAGUCAAUAAAGACCUCUGUAGGGCUUAGAGGGGUGCUACCUUUUAGAGGUGCAUUCCCAAUAGGUAAUCUGAUCCCCGAACCUAAACUCGGGUUUUUCAAAGACACGUUUUUUCAAAAACUAUGGAGUCACUUCUUUAGGGUUUUCUUUCUUAUUUUAUUUUCCUUUUUAAAAUAAAAUAAAAUAAGUGGCGACUCCAACUUUUCCAAAACAAUUUUUUCACCAAUAAAAGCGAGUCUCACCGAUUGAGUGGGGACGUACAUGAAAAAUGCGGGUCCACGGCUCAUAUAUGUCUAUCAAUCUGGCUAUGAAAUGACUGAUAUACUAUAAUCUACCUAAAGAAUCCUUGAUCCCCCACUCAAUCCUCGAUGCAAGCAUGUCAACUAUGGCUCUGAUCUUAUCUGGAUCUACCUCUAUACCUCGCUCACUAACAAUAUGCCCUAACAAUUUCCUAGAAGUAACUCCAAAGGUGCACAUCUUGGGGUGUCUCAAUCUAAACUUCCAGAUUCUCUCAAAGAAUCUCCUUAAAGUUGUUAGGUGAUUUGCUUUGUCUCGGGAUUUCAUAAUCAUAUCAUCAAUGUACACCUCAACAUCCCUAUGCAUCAUAUCAUGAAACAAGAUAGUGGCAGUCCUUUGAUAAGUAGCUCCUGUGUUCUUUAAUUCAAAUGGCAUAACUCUAUGAUAAUAAAUACCCUACUCAGUAAUGAAGACAGUCUUCUCCAUAUCCUCUAGAUCCAUCAAAAUUUGAUUAUACCCAAAAAACUCAUCCAUGAAAGACAAUAUCGAAUGACUUGCAAUGCUAUCAACCAAUGUAUUAAUAUGCAGGAGGGGAAAGUCAUCUUAAGGACUAGACUUGUUAAGAUUCCUGAAAUCAACACAAACCUUGAACUUGUCAUCCUUUUUAGGAACAAGGGCGACAUUAGCCAACCACUCAAGAUACUCAACCACUGAUAUAAAACCAACACCGUGUUGUUUUUUAAUCUCCUAUAUCACUUGCAAGCUCCAAUGAGGGUGUAACCGCCUUAACUUCUACUUAACUAGUUUGGCAUGUGGCAAAAUAGAUAGGUGAUGUUGAACUAUAGAGGCAUCAAGGUCAAACAUGUCCUCAUAAGACCAUGCAAAGACAUCCAAGUAUGACUUGAGUAAAUGAAUGAGUUUAUCUCUCUUAUCUGUGGAUAAGGGUGAACUAAUCUUCAACUCUCUAGGUUGAUCCUCUAUACCAAAAUCAACAAUCUCAACAUCCCCCAUAGCAGAUGAAACUCUCUCAAAUAUGGGGUCCGAAUCAUGGUUAAAAGAACCUCCAUUUGAAUCAUGUUAUGUAAUCUCAUCGUCUAUAUCAAAUAUUUGUGAUGUGGGUGAAUGGGGUGUAGAUAAAGAGACAUCAUCACAAGAGAUAGAUGAAUACUCGAAUAUACUCAAAUUGAUAAAUGAAGCAUUAGAAACAUGUCAAAGAGAGAAACAAAUCCCAAUAAAAUGUCAAAUGAAAUAUGUGGGUCUACAAAGUAGAACGCUCCCUCAAUGGGGCUAAAAAAUGCCCUUAAAUAAAUUAGUAUCAACCAUAACAUCCUCUGAAAGCUUUGGAAUAGGAGCAAUUUGGAUCUCCUCAGCAGCCUCAAUGGCGGAUACCCCAAAUAGAUCAAACGGUGAAGUAGGCUUAGACUAAAUAACGCUGGUAAUUUGACUCAUACCCAUCAUAUCCAUAUCCAUCUCAUCUCAGUACUCGUCAUAAGGAAUAACUCUAUCAAUCACCUCAAUAGGCUCCACGGCUACUCCAUCAUCAGUAAUUUCCUUAAGGAAUCAUAAUGAUAAUAAACUAGCUUAGUUUAGAGACAAAGGUGCAAUCACCAUAGAAAUAGACGUUCUAGGUGUCCCUUCACCCAACUGUAAUUGAUGAAAUAGAUGUCGAAGCUCAAUCUCUCUAUCUAUACCAACCCUAUUGCCAAUUUUCUAUAAACGAGGCUGAAUCUCUAAUUCUUUGACAAAGUAGUCGGUCAAACUUAUCCUGUAGGGGCGAACAGGAUAAUCAAAUGGCAUGUUAGACAAUCAGGCCUUACUUUCUCCUUACCCAGUUACGCCAUAUACUGGUAAUCAACCUCGAUAGGAAUGUACCUAAGCCUAAAUGGUGUAUCAUAAUUGAUGGCAUCUACAAACUCAUUAGGCCCAUGCUGACAUCGUCCUAAUCCCAGGCUAGGUAGGAAAGACAUACCUUUCAUAAUGUUGAGCUCUUUUGUUGGUCAAAUGACAUAGCUACAAAGUCUUUGUAGAAAUCCUCAAUCUCAAUAGUCUGAAUCUCAUCAAAUGUAAACUUAGUAAAAAAUAGAUCAUCAUCACCAUGACUGAACUAAAGCACCAACUCGAAAGAGGAAAUCAUGUCUUUAGGGGACUGCAUCAUGAUGACUUGUCUAUCAUGUAUGAACUUCACCUAUUGAUAAAGGGAAGAAAGAAUAGCUUUGGCUAUAUGAAUCCAUGGCCAACCCAACAAUAGGUUAAAUGUUGUAGGAAUCUUUAAAAUCUUAAACAGAGUCAAGAAUGUGGUCAGACCAAUCAACAAAUCAAUCAUCAAAGUGCCCAUAAUUUCCCUCUUAAUGUUGUCAUACGUUCUGACUAUCUGAGUAGAAUGACCAAAAUUUGAAGGUGCAAAUCCAAGGGUCAAUGUAGUGUCUAGGGGGCAAACGUUCAGGGUCGAGUCAUUGUCCACAAGACAUAUAAGACUCUAUGGCUUCAAAAACCAAUUGAGAUGUAAAGAAGGCAUGUAAUGUCUAAACCCUCAUGUGGCAAGUCAUUAUUUGAAAACAUAAUGCAAGCGGUUAUAUCAGUCAUCAUCAUAUGGAUAAACCCCUUAGGAGUAUUAAUAGUUUCCCCUUUGAUCUUACUGAAAGCUCGUAUCAACGCAUCUCUAUGAGUAUUGGAAGAUACCAAUGGACUCUAAAGGGAUAUACGGGCUUAGGUGCUCUGUAAUUGUCUCAAAACCUUGUUAUCAUCUCUCCUAACCUCCUCAUGAGAGGCUACACCCUCAAAUGACCUAGUCACUAUAGGUAGGGGUAGAGCUACUCUCCCACUAUGGGUCACAAUCUAUAUCUCUCUAUCCUUAGAAUAUAUCAUCUAGCCAUAAAAUAAAUGGAAUAGAUGUACCUUGAUGUCCAGUAACCAAUGGUGUAAAAGGAAUCAACAGAAACAAUGUCUCAUCUAAAAUCAAACCAAAUGGUGUAGAAACCUGAGGACCUAAUGUAACUCCAUCAACCUCAUAACUAUCAUCCAAAAUGAUUGGGUCAGGAAAUCCGUCAUCCUAACUCAACAUAUGUAUAUUGUUAUCCUCUACAAAGUCUAUGUGAUGGAUAUCACUUGGAGGUGAAAGCACUACAUGUGUAGAGUAGGCAAGAAGGGGAUUAGUGGUUACACUUGGCUACCCAAGUGAACCAAACCUUGGUUUAUCAAAUCUUAAAUAGUAUGUCUCAGAUUGGUACAAUGGUCUGUAUCAUGCCCUAAACCUUGAUGAUAAGAACAAUGCAAGUCUAAUCUAAAGUGAGAUGGCACUGGUUGAGGUAUUGGCUUGGGUGCCAAUAGAGUCAAUAAUCCACCCUCCACGAGCUUCUGAAAAGCUCAACUCAAAGGUAUACCCAACUACGAAAACUAUCGUAUCGACCUCGACACUAGAGGAAUAGUGAUAUGUGGAGCUCUAGGUCGAGGGUAUAAGGUAGGGGGCCUCUUUGUCACUUAAGCAACAAAAAUGAGUUAUGAGACUAAGUGCAGAUAUGUAAGAGUCAUGGGUCGAGCGGGAUUUGGAGGUCUAUAUUUAGCAGUAUAGGCCACGAGCACCUCCUCAGCCAUAUGACCAGGCUUACUUGUCUCCCAUACUAACAUUGUCUUGUUACGCCACACAGGGUGCAGAGAGACCUCCGACUUCAUAUCUUACCCCAGUACAACCAUGCUAUGUAGCACAGGUUGUAGUGAGACCUCCAACUUUAUACCCUAGACCUAGGGCUCCACAGGCUUCUGUUCCAUCUACCCUAAGGACAUAGAGACAAUUUUCACACUUAGGUAUGUCGUUGAGCUAGACUCUUCGAAAGCUCACAAAUGUUGGAUUAUUGAUACUUCUUACUCCCAGGCCAUUGUCUCAGCCAGUUCUGCCACAAUUUCGGGUGGAUCUAUAUCGUGCAUGUCAUCAGAGGCAAGACAUGAGACCGAUUAUUGUACUGCUUUGAGGCGCACCAUCCAGGACUUGAUAGAUCAGGGUUUGGUUCACUUAGGUCAGCCAAGUGUAACCACUAAUCCUCUACCAGCUCAUACUUCACAUGCAGUCCCUCCGUCGGCCGACAACAUACAUUUCAUGGAUUUCACUGAGCCAGUUGAUCGCAUUCACAUGUUGAGUUGGGAAGAUUUUGAGCCAGAGCCUAUAGUAGUGGAUGAGAGCUAUGAGGUUGAUGGAGUGAUCUUAGACCCACAGGCAUCCACACCAUUUAGACUGGUUCCUAACACACCACUAGUGCAGUUGACUACGGUUGGGCCGUUGAUUCACCAGUGUUAUAGCAUUCAGUAUCCGUUUAUAUUGAGUCGAGAUCCUGAUGAGAUGGUUACUCAGGAUGUUUAGUAUGUCAUCUGUGGGGACAAGGUGGUACGACAGUAGCCUCCCACAGUUGCCUGACCUUUAGAGAGUGAUGUCACUCGAAAGGAGACCAGAUGAUUCGUGCCCAGCUGGUGUAUGUCCUGUUGACUGGUGUUCAAUCAACUGGUGUACUCUGAUUUUCUAUCCUCAGACAGGAGUAAUCAACAAAAUUUAUAAACCUAUUUCACCAUAUACUAGGGUAGCAUUAGCUAGUAUAGCAUAGUGGCUCUAGGAUCGUCCACAGGGAUAGGUUUUCAAAUUACAACUAAUAUCAGUUCAAAAACUGAAUUGAUGUCUUUUCUUUUCAAGGUUAGCUUUAAAAGAAAACAUAAAUAUGUUUGAAAAGGUUGGUUUUAAGUGAAACAAAAAUAAAGUAAUUGAAAUUACUUACAAAGAAAAGUGCUUCUUAGAGUUUUAGAUCACUAGGCUCAGGUUCCUUAUACAAAAGGGAGAUUCCGGUCACUUGGAUCUUUUCCUCGCAUUGGGGAUUUAACAUAUAGUUAUUUCCCGAACUAGUGUGGUACAGAUGCUUCCCCUUAAUGGUUUCAAACACUAAAUCCCUGUCACUGAAUCAUCUUGCAAUGGUUCAUACCUCUCACCUAGUAUUGGCCAUUCAGGGUGAUCCUUAACCUUGGAUUACCCGUCAAAAGCUCGCAAGAGAUAACUAAUGGAUGUUUCCUGGGAGUCUAAAAGCUUACCAAGUGUUGGCUAUUCUAGAUAAUCCUACCUUUAAACCACCUCCUAGAGGCUCGCAAGAGAUAAACUAGUGUAUCUCAAUGGACGGAGAUUACUUGCCUUACCAAGUGUUGGCCCAGGUGAUUUUAAGGGAUUUUAAGUUAACUAAAAAGAUAAAAACCAUUAACAGGUCACACUUUCUUUUCAUUAAAAAGUAAAACAAUAAAACUUGCAAUUUUUGUAUUCAGAACUUUACCUAGCUUCCUUAACUCCAAGAAACAAAAAGCCUAGCCACUCAUCCUCUAGGAAAACAUCCCCAGAGUUUGAUUUGCUAGAAAUAAAAAUAACGUGAAAACAAAAUGAGAAGGUAAGGCAGAGCAAAGCUCUGUGUAUUACUUUCUGAAAAACUAUACAAAAAAGUCGUCUCUGAGAAAAAAAACUCCCAAUCUCUCUUAAAAGAAAAUUACAAUAGAUAUUAUAGAGAGAGGUUAUUCACACCUCCUGCUAACUUCCCAACCAAAAAAACUUGUCAUUGGUGGGUUACAAGGAGAAAAUAGGGAUUUACACACAAAUAUCUGAAGAUAAAUAUCAAACGGAGUCGGUGCGCAAAUAUCUCAAAUUACAAGUGGAUUUCGCAAGUUCAAAUGGAACUUGCGAAAAUUUCGCAAGUUGAAAUUAUGAUUACUACCAAAAAGUGCUAUUUUGUAGACCUAAUUAUAAUGGUUUUAAGCACCUUUGAGUAGUAAUCAUAUUCAUUUAACCCAAUUGACAUGUUAAGGACCCUUGCAAUCGUUUCUAAUCAAAUUGUGUUAAGUUUUGGUGUUUUUGAUAGCUUUUAGCUACACCAAAGCAAUCCAAGAAUGAGGGAGAGCUGUAUAUAGUUCAUGGCAAAGCUUUUGGAAGCUCAAAUUCAUGAAGAACCAAGCUUUGGAGCUCCAUAGCCCUUUGCCAAAGUCGUUCAAAGUAUGCAAGGAAAGAACAAUGGAGAAGAGGAAAACAGAGUGAAGAAAACAGAGGACAGCAGCUGCAGUAUUAUUUUGCACUUUUGGAGCACUUCCUGAAGUCUAUUUUCUAGAUGCUAUAUACCAUUUCAAAUCUCAGAAAGUCAAGAAUCCAACGCUUCAAACCGUGUAUGAUUUGGAGCUGAAAUGAGGAAGAUAUGGCCUUCGGAAGACAACUGCAUCAAGCCAUGGGAACAUCAUUUCGCAAGGAGAUUUUCUUCAUGGUGCGAAAUUUGGCCAUUUCGCACCAUGAAGAACCACCUUGCGAAAUUUGGACCCCUCAUAUUUCCCCUUUGCGAAAAUGCCUUUUAAAUCCCCUGUUUUGAGACACUAUUGAUGAUAUUCCACUGCCGGUUCUCCAAGAUAUUUUGCUUGAUUUUUAGCUUUGUAAAUACCUAUUUUACCCUUGUAAUCAACCAAUGAAUAGGUUGCUUUUGUAAUAGCUCUUGUAAUUUAGCUUGUUAUUGUCUUUAAAUAGAGGUGAAGAGCCUCAGACAAAGGGAUCUUGUAACCUGUAACUUUAUAAAUUAUAAGAGCACUUUUGUUCAUACGCUUCUUUUCUAUUUUCUUUCUCAUUUUCUUAGUAGCCAAACAUCCUUGGAGGAUGAAAUCCCCAAGGAUGAGAGGCUAAAACUUUUAGUUUCUCAAAGUAUGGAUGUUAUGUGAUGGCUUGGAUGCAAUCCCAUGGAAAUUUCUCGCACCUGGAAGGUAAGGUAGUCGUUUUUCAUUAAUGGUUCAUUAAUGCAAAGUUUGGUUUUUAUUUCCUUUGGACAACUUCCAACGGCCAAUACUUGAUAAGCUUUUGGAUUUCUAUCCAUUAGUUAUCUCCUACGAGCUAUUGGAAGGUGAGGUUUUCAAUUCCAAGUUUUGCAUUAAUCCGUUAGAACCAAUUUCAAUGGUCAUUGAAAGGUGAGUUUAUCACCUGGAAUGACUUUGAGUUGCCAAUAUUUGGUAAGCUUUUGGCUUUAGACCAUUAGUUAUCUCUUACGAGCCAUUCAAAGGAAGUCUAAGGUGAAUAACCAUUAAUGAAAUUCACUACCAUCUGUUUUGCCAUUUUAAAGGAUUAAAACUUGAUUUGCUAAAUCCAUACCGGUUUGGGAAGCAAGCAUCACCAUAGUUACAACCCCAACGCGAGGAGCCUAUCCUGAGAUUUCCAAUUUGCAUAAGAGCCAGAGCAUAGCUAUCCUAUCUUUGAGAAACUUGUUAUUACACCCUUUCAUUUUAGUCUUUAAUGUUAGCUUAGAUUAGUUUAAAUCUUUCUAAAACAUUUACAUCUUCUUUUAAAGCUAACAUCCAUAAGAAAAUCACCUAUUUUCCUAAUUUGAAUAUCACUUGUGUUUGCGAAAACCCUUCCCAGUGAACAAUCCUAGAACCACUAUGCUAUAGUAGCUUGGCUACUUUAGUAAUAGUAUUUAAGGUAUAAAUUUUGUUGAUACGCCUUUAAAGCUAAGCUACCAUGAGUUGUAUCAAAUUAUCCAUUUUGCAAGUUGCGAAAUUGUCCUGCAACUUAUCAGUUCUCUGUCCUGUAGCGAUUCAUUUCCUCUUCCUAUUUCACAAGUUGGAUUCCACAACUUGCGAAAUUGCUGGAUGGUUGAUUUCUUCUGUGUUUUUCUUCCUUGCAUCCCCAUUUGGCUUUGGCAAAGGGUUAUGAAGCUCCAAAGCUUAGUUUCUUCAUGAAUUUGAGCUUCAACUUGGUUUGCCAUGAACUAUACAAAGAUUUUCCUCAUUCUUGGAUUACUUUGGUGAUAAAAAAGCUAUCAAAAAUACCAAAACUUAACACAAUUUGAUUAGAAACGAUUGCAAGGGUCCUUAACAUGCCAAUUGAGUUAAAAGGUAAUAACUACUACUCAAAAUUGUUUAGAAGAGUUAAUUACAAGCUAUAAAAUAGCACUUUUUGAGUAGUAAUCACUCCCCCUAACCGACAUAUUGCAAGUCCCUUAGCAAUGAAGGAGAGAAAAAAAAAUAAACAGUACUAUAAUUUACAACAUCAUGUUGAUCACUCCAAAAAGUUUUAAGUGGCAUGAUGAUCAAACUCUCACAUGGGACAUUAAAGAUAUAAAACUCAAACUUCAGCCUAAUCAUGAUUCAUAAAGAGAAGGCAUUAUGCAAAUUUAAGCUUUAAAAGAAUUUCCACUCCUAAAAGGUCAAUCCUUACUCUUCCACAAAAAACUAAGUGUUACUUAUUAGUUUUCGAAUAUAGUAUGUUGAACUAAUCUUUCCCCCCAACCUAGUUCUUUUUCAAAACUUAGCAAACUGAAAACCUCCAAUAAGCUAAGAACGCACCUCAUUUAUUUCACACAUUUUUUUUUUCUUGUAGGAGUACAAAGCUUAAAGGUAUUCUUUUCUAAAUUGUCCAUGUAACGAGGGUCCAUCGAUGACUCCCAACCAAUUAAGGUUUAGGGCAUCAAGCUUCAAGGAUAUUUCGACCACUAACUCUUCGGAUUUUACCCUGGACUUUUGAGAUUGGAAUUCAAUACCCAAGCACCUACAAUAUGUUAAACUCCACCUAUUCACCCUUGUAACGAGCAUUGAGGUCGGCGACUCCCAACCAAUGAAGGCUCAGGGCACCAGGUUUUAAAGAUUUUCACCAUAUACCCCUCAGACCUUGCUCGGGUUUCAAGGCAAGUAUACAUCAAAGGCUCAUUGGCUUUUUCUAAGGUGUCCCAAUACUAUUCAAAUGAGGUCAAAGGUACUAAGUCUAAAAUUUCCUAAGUCAAGGGGUGAAAUAGUUUUUCAUCUUAUAAUCGGAACCUAGUGUGCACAGUGUGUGGUAAGCUUAAAGUGGACGAAAUAAGGUUGAAUUCAAUAGAAGUUUCAACAAUUCAUAAACUUUAAUAAGCAUAAUACAAACUCUAAGUCAAGUAAAAAGACAAAAAUUCAAUUUCUCCCAUUUCAUUUUGAGAAUUUUUCUUUGAUAAUCAUGAAGAGUAUUCAAAAAAAUUUUAUUUUUCUUUUAAAUUUAAACAAAAAGUAACUAAAUUACCAUUUAUAACCUAGCAUUAUAAACAAUACUUCCUUCCUCAACUCCCCUCAACCAUGCUGAACAUUGUCCUCAAUGUUUGAAGAGCAAUUGAAAAGAAAGGGAGGAAGUAGUACCUCCUAAGUGGAAUAGGGUCUGAAUUGUAUAGGAGAAACCACAUGAUUCAAAAAACAAUAAAAAAUAAGUAGAAGAAAUAAAUUAAAAAUAUGCCAAGUAUACUAAAAAAUGAUGGAUAUGUAUUACUUUAAGAGAGUACAAUAUGAAAUAUGCACAAGUAAUACAUCCAAUCCCAAUAUAUAAAACAUCAAAAACAUGGGAUUAAGAGUUCUACUAUAAUAAGUAAAUACAAAAAGUAGAUAGAUGAUAAGGUAGUGGUGGGAGGGUCAUGUGGAGAUGAUAGCUCUGCUGUGGUCUCCUGAGUACUCUGGAUCGGAGUCUCGAUCUCUGUUGUAGUAGUCUCCUCAUGGGGCAUAGUCUGCUUUGCCGGAGUAGCCUCCUGAGAUGGAAUAGCUUGCUCAGCUGGAGUAGCCUCCUCAGAUGGAGCUGUAGGCUCUGAUGGGCCAGGCGUAUCAUGCUUAGGUGGUGGCAAAAUACCCAAAUGCUGUUGUAUCUGCCUAAGGAUGGUAGUAUGCUGGGUCUGCGUGGCGAUAAGUUGAUCUUGACGUGCAUGUAUGACUGCCAUCUGCUGGAAGAGAGCACCUUGAGUAGUGCUCAAUGUCUGCAAUGUAUGACAUAGGCCUUUAAACUCUGAACUGGAUAUGGUGAUAGAGGACUCAAAUGGAGGAGGUGCUGAUGUAGUUGGUAUAACUGGUGGAGCUUCAGGAGUGGUAGGAAGAGCAGAAGAUGUAGCCUUGGGCAUGGGCACUGUAGAAAGUACUGCAUGGGCAGGUGGUAUGAUCCUUGUUGUGCCUGUGGUGGCUACUCAUCCUGAGGUAACUCUGGAGGUGUUGGCAUAUCUGGGGCUCCUGGAGGUGCAACAUAGGCCGUCAAAUGAUUCCAUUUUUUGAGAGUGAAUAGCUCUCGGCAAAUGCGGCGGUGCUCAAGCUGAGGCUCCGAAGGAUAUACCAAAUGCUCUAAUAUCUGACAGAGCAGCCUAGGAAAAGUAAUGGAAUGGCAUCUACUCUUUGGAGUUUCUUCUUGUGGACCUUCUCUUCAAAGUAGAGAAGAGAGGUCAUAAUCAAAUGAUGAGGGCCAAAGUAAAAACCCUCUGAAAUUUGGAAUAAAGUCUCCAAUAUAGCUCCUCUCCUCUGCACCAUAUGCUGAAGUGGAAAUAUGUUGGAGCACAACAUCACAUCUAGAAGAAAUAUCCCAGGUGGAAGCUCCUUCCUAAGAAGAAAUGAGUGUGUAGAGGUCCCCCUAGACAAUAUACGAACCAUGUCUCUCUGAGAAAACUGGGGCCACUCUCUGAAAUCUGUUGGACUCACAGGCUCAUAUGGAAUAUGAAGGGCCUCUACAAUGUGUCUAGCUCCAAUGAUACCAUGGCGUCCAUUAAUAGUGAAGUGGAUGACAGUAGGAUCCUGAACACAACGAGCAGUCAUAGAGUGAUAAAAGUCUAGUGCUACUCUGGGAUAGAAGAAAUCCUUAAGAGUCAUCGGAUGCUCCAAAUGGUAUCUCUGCAGUAAGUGGAAUGAAUCUCUGAACUCCGGCUGUUAUUUGAAAGUCUCCAUAUCAAAGCAUAGCUCGGAGUGGAAUGACUUGGCUUGGCAAUCCAAAUUUCCCUCUAUAGGUGGUUGUGUAACCAUAGGUCGCCUGAUAAUCACUUUUGGAGUCAUCCCAACAGGAAUCUGAGACUCUAUAGCAGCUGACUGAGGCUGUGGAGGUGCAGAUGACUCUCCUGGGCCUAAAACUCUGGCUUUCUUUAUAGGAGGGCAACGAACUGAUUUCUUAGGGCGUGAAGUGCUUGCCCCAGGUGUAGUGGGUGGUCUCCUCGUCUCGUGCCUACAUUGAGGAGGGUUAGAUGGCACUCCACCCUCAAAAGGUGGAAUGUCAGAGGCUUGUGGGGCCUCAACUAUGGAAUCCCGCGUAGGUGAAGCUCUGGGCCUUGGAUUACGAGCUAAUGGAUACGCGGCGUGGGCUCCUCUUGUCUUGGCCAUGGCUAAAAUGGAGAGGCUUGUGUACCUUAGGGUGCGCGGAGUGGUUCUUCUUCAGACGCAUGACCUCUAAGCUUCCAACUCUGGAAUUUGGGGGGUUUCGCAACUUGAAAGGGUUGUGUGAUAAUGAAAAUGGAAAAAAUCAGAGGUUUAAAUAGGAAUUUAAAUGUUGGUUGGCAUUCUCGCAAGUUGGUUUGCAAGUUGCCCCAUUUCGCAAGUUGAUUCGCAGGCUGUGAAACUUGAAAUUGAACUUGCAAAAUGACACACUUGUGCUUGGAGAUGCUUUCACAAGCUACGAAAAUUUUCGCAAGUUGAAUAGUGGACUUGCGAAUUUAAGCUUUGAGGAUUUCGCAAGUUAUACCCUAUUUUCGCAAGUUGGAAUUUCAACUUGCGAAAUUUUCACAAGUUGAACUAUUACUUUGUUUUUCAGGCUUUUUCUCCUUCUUUGAUUCUUUAAGGCUUUCCUCCAAUUCCUUUGAAGUUCCUCCUAAUUUUGAUCAUCCAAAAAGUCUAAGUUAGAUAAAAAAUAAAUAAAUUAAAGUUAUAAUUAAAAUUAAAACAAAUAAUAAAGCUUUUAAAUCAACAAAAAACAUGGACUUUGGUUAGUCUUCAGAAAGACUAAGUCCAUCUACUCCUUUUUGGUUAAGAUUGUUGUGGCUCAAGGAGACUGACUUCCUCCUUGUCUUGAUUGAAAGGCUUCAUGAAUGGCUUGAGAUAGUGGCCAUUGACUUUGAAAGUGUAUGUGCUGUUGGAAUUGAGUAGUUCCACUACUCCAUUGGAAUGCACUUGGUGAAUAAUGAAAGGACUUGUCCACCAUGAUUUUAGCUUUCUUAGAAAAAUGUGGAGCCUAGAGUCAUAGAGUAAGACUCUUUAUCCCUUUUGAAAUUCUUUGUUGGAGAUUAACUGAUCAUGCCACCUCUUCAUCCUCUGUUUUUCAAUUUUUGAAUUGAUGUAGGCAUCAUUUCUCAAUUCCUCCAUCUCAUUAAAGUCUAAGCACCUCUUCAUCCCGGCUCUAUUCAAGUCCAUGUUUACUUUCUUAAUUGCCCACCAAGCCUUGUAUUCAACUUCCACAGGGAGAUGGCAUGCUUUUCCAUAGACUAGGCAAUAAGGAGACACGCUAAGAAUAGUCUUGUAAGUUGUUCUGUAUGCCCAUAAUGAAUCAUGGAGCUUAACAGACCAGUCUCUUCUGCUCGUGUUCACCACUUUCAUCAAUAUAUUCUUGAUUUCCCUGUUUGUUAACUCAACUUGCCCAGAAGUCUGAGAGUGGUAAGGUGUAGCUACCUUGUGCUUCACCUCAUACUUGGCUAAGAGAGUUUCAAAAGGCUUGUUGCAAAAAUGAGUACCUUCAUCACUGAUUAUGGCCUUGGGCACCCCAAAUCUUGAGAAGAUGUUCUCUUUGAGAAACUUGAGAACAACUCUAUGGUCAUUGUGUUUACACAGGAUUGCUUCAACCCAUUUAGAAACAUAGUCUACCCCCACCAAAAUGUAAGAGUUACCAAAAGACAUAAGGAAAGGUCUCAUGAAUUCAAUGCCCCAAACAUCGAAAAGAUCAACUAUUAAAAUGGGGUUCAUAGGCAUUUGGUUCCUACGUGUUAACUUCCCAAGUCUUUAACAUCUAUCACAACUCCUGCACAUGGUGUGAGCAUCUUUGAAAGUGAUGGACAACUAAAACCUGAUUGUAACACCUUCAUGGCUGUUUUCUGAGAGGCAAAGUGGCCUCCACAUGCGCUUUUGUGGCAAUGACUGAGGAUCCCCUGUUGCUCUUGUUCAGGGAUACACUUCCUUAUUAUUUGAUCUGCACAAUACUUGAAAAAAAAAAGUUCUUCCCAAUAAUAAGCAUGAAUUUUUGCAAAGAUGUGCUUCCUAUCUUGUGCUUUCCACUCACUUGGAACUUCACCAGUAACUAGAUAGUUAGCAUACUGAGCAUACCAAGAAGCAUCUUCUAACAACAUGAGUGACUCCUCCGGAAAAUCAUCAUUAAUAGGUAAACCAUGGGAAUUAUGCAAUAUAGCCAGCCUUGAAAGGUGGUCAACUACCACAUUCUCCACUCACUUCUUGUCUUUGAUUUGGAGAUUGAAUUCUUAUAGUAAGAGAAUCCAUCUAAUCAGUUGUGCUUUUGCAUGUUGCUUUGUCAAUAAGUACUUCAAAGCUGAGUGGUCAAUGAAAACCACAAUGAAAGACCCUACUAGAUAAGCUCGAAAUUUGUCCAAGGCAAAAAUUACAACCAACAAUUCUUUCUCUGUGGUUGUGUAGUUUCUUUGCGCUUCGUUCAAUGUUUUGCUUGCAUAGUAGAUCACAUAGGGCUUUCCAUUCUCUCUUUGACCAAGAACAGCUCCUAUAGCAAAGUCACUAGAAUCACACAUCACUUCAAAAGGUAGUUGCCAGUUAGGAGCUCUCACUAUUGGAGCGAUUGUCAAGAACUGCUUCAGUUGCUCAAAACUCUUUUGACAUCUCUUAUCCCAUGCAAAUUUACCAUCAUUCACUAAUGGUUCACAAAGAGGCUUUGAAAGUUUAGAAAAAUAUUUAAUAAACCUCCUGUAGAACCCAGCAUGGCCAAGGAAUUGUCUUACUCCUUUUACAGUUGUUGGGGAUGGCAAUUUGACAAUAAGUUCCACCUUUGCUUUAUCAACUUCAAUGCCUUUCUUGGAGAUGAUGUGGCCAAAGACAAUUCCUUGUUGUACCAUAACAUGGCAUUUCUCCCAGUUAAGCACUAAGUCUUUUUCAAUGCAUCGGUUUAGAAUAGCUUCCAAGUUGACUAAGCAUUCCUCAAAUGUGCUUCCAUAUAUGGUGAUAUCAUCCAUAAAAACUUCCAUAAUACACUCCACCAUAUCACUGAAAAUGUUUAACAUACAUUGUUGGAAUGUUGUAGGUGCAUUGCAUAAACCAAAAGGCAUUCUUCUGUAGGCAUAUGUUCCAAAUGGACAUGUGAAAGUGGUCUUCUCCUAGUCUUCAACAUCAAUUUCUAUUUGAAAAUACCCGGAGUAGUCGUCCAAGAAUCAAUAGAAAUGAUGGCCUGAGACUCUCUCCAACACUUGAUCAAUAAAUGGCAAUGGAAAAUGAUCAUUCCUUGUCACAACAUUCAAAUUUAUAUAAUCAAUACACACCUUCCAACCUGAAGUGAGGCGUGUAGCAACUUCUUCUCCCUUAUCAUUUUUCACCACUGUGAUCCCUGAUUUCUUUGGCACUACUUGAGUAGGACUCACCCAUGGGCUAUCUGAUAUGGGGUAGAUAAUACCGGCCUGAAGUAGCUUAAGAACCUCAGCUCGCACCACCUCUUGCAUAUGAGGAUUCAAUCUUCUUUGAGGUUGACGAACUGGCUUAGCUUCUUCUUCCAUGUAUAUAUGAUGUGUACAGACUAAAGGGUUGAUUCCUUUUAAGUCAGAUAUUUGUCAUCCUAUUGUUUUCUUACAUUUCCUGAGAACUUCAAGUAAACACUCCUCCUGACGAGUGGUAAGAGAUGAAGAUAUAACAAUAGGGCACUUCUUAUUAUCUUCUAGGUAUGCAUACUUCAACUCCGUGGGUAGUGGUUCAAAAUAAGCUUUGGGGCCUCCUCUUUAACCGCUUCUUAUAUCUCCUCCUCAUUGAACAAAGGUAGAAUUUCUUCUAUCAUCCUCCAACCUGGUAGAGUAACAAGCAAAUCUGAGGGUUCAGGCAACCCUUCAUCAAGAUCCCCAAGACUUUCAUUCAACUUCUCUUGUAUUUUCUUAUUACAAUGCUCCUCCACUAAAGUGUCAAUGAUGCACACCACUUCUGAACCUUCUUCUUCUUCAGGAUUGAUUGGCUUCUUGCACAUAUAGAAGAUAUUGAGCUCCAAUGUCAUGUUGCCAAACGUGAGUUGCAUGAGUCCAUUCCUACAAUUGAUGAUUGCAUUUGAUGUAGCUAGGAAUGGUCUUCUAAGUAUGAUAGGAACAUAAUUAGUUUCUUUGACAAUUGGGUCCAUAUCAAGAACAACAAAAUCCACUGGAUAGUAGAAAUUGUCAACUUGAACUAAGACAUCUUCAAUCAUCCCUCUUGGAAUCUUCACUGAUCUAUCUGCUAGAGAUAGAGUGAUUGAUGUUGGCUUCAAUUCACCAAGUCCUAAUUGCUUGUGGACAAAGUAUGGUAACAAAUUCACACUUGCUCCCAAGUCCAACAAAGCUUUCUCCACUAAAGUCCCUCCAAUCAUCACUAAAAUAGUAAGGCAGCCCAGAUCUUUGUACUUCACUGGAGACUUACAUUGUAUGAUGGCACUUACUUGCUCAGUCAUGAAGGCUUUCUUAUUCACAUUCAACCCUCUUUUGAUAGUGCACAAGUCCUUCAGGAAUUUUGCAUAAGUCGGCACUUAUUUAAUCAUGUCUAGCAAUGGGAUGUUGACCUUCACUUGCCUCAACACUUCAAGAAUUUCUGAUGCAUUGCUAAUUCCCUUUUUCUCAUGCAAAGCUUUAGGAAAAUGUGGAGGCAUGUGUUUAUUUAUCACAUCUCCCUUGAUAACUAUCUUCUCCUAAUCUUCAUUCAUUGUUGAAUCAUGGUCCUCUUUCCUUCCACUGCUCCCUUUCUUCUUUCAUUUGAUUUCCUCUCUCUUCUCUGUCUCUUUUUCACUCUUUGUUUCAUCAUGUGGCUUGGGUGUUGGCAACCCAACCUCUUUACCACUCCUAAGAGUGAUCAUGGCUUUGACGUCCCUUACUUGUAAAGAUUCUCCCUCAUGAGCUUCCACUUCAUGGAUACCCUUGGGGUUUUGGUGAGGUUAAGAAGGAAACCUUCCCUUUUCUUACACUGUGUUAAGGUUAGUGAGCCUUGAGAUUGAGUAUUGGAGAUUAUCUAUCUUCUGAGAUAAAUCGUUUGCAUUCCAUCCAUCCUUUUAUUCAACGUAUUCUCUACACUAUCAAUUCUUUGAUUGAGUUGAGCAUUGAUGGAUUUCUGGUCUCCAACAAAAUCUCCCACGACCUUGCUUAGAUUCACAAUUGUUUGCUCAAGAUUUGAAGCUUGUUGAGAUGCUUGGCCUGGUUGCGUGUACUAAAGUGCUCUUGGUUUCCAAGAAAAAUUUGGAUGGUUCCUUCAAUUUGAAUUGUAGGUAUUUCCAUAUGAAACAUUGUUAUUGGGCUUGAAUUGUCCAAUGACAUUUGCUUGAUCUCCAAACAUUUCUCUAACAUCUAGAAUUAUAGGACACUCCUCCACUAAGUGCUCAUAAGAUUGACAAAUGGAACAAGGCAUAACUUGCACUAGUGUUUCAGAAGCGGCUUGCACUUCACGUAUCUUUUUUAGUUCUAGCUCCCCCAAUCUUCUUGUCAUAGCUGCAACUUUUGCUUUCAUGUCAAUAUCUUCGUUCAAGGUAUACAUCCCAGCCUUAGCAUUAAGAGCAUUUGGUUGAGACUUCAUUUUUCCCACUUCUCCCAUGUUCGGUUCAUCCCAUCCUCUUGAAACUUCAACAACAUAAUUCAAGAAAUCCAUGGCUUCCUCUGGAUUCUUACUCAUGAAAUCUCCUCCACACAUAGUCUCUAGGAGUUGCUUCAUUGAGGAAGACAUACCAUCAUAAAAGUAACUCACCAAUAGCCAUGUAUCAAAGCCAUGGUGAGGACAAGCAUUGAUAGCUUCCAUGUAUCUCUCCCAACACUCAUAGAAUUUCUCAUUCUCCUUAGUUGAGAAGUUUGAAAUUUAUCUUUUCAAGCCAUUGGUCCUAUGAGUAGGGAAAAUUUUCUUGAGAAAUUCAGCUUGCAAAUCAGUUCAAGUUCGGAUACUCCUUGGCCUUAAAGAAUUAAGCCAAAUCUUGGCCUUAUCCUUCAGGGUGAAAGGAAAUAGUUUUAGCCUCAUCAAGUCGAUUGAAGCUCCUUCCUCUUGGAAUGUAUUACAAACAUCUUCAAAUUCUUUGAUAUGCGUGUAAGGAUUCUCACUUUCCAUCCCAUGGAAAGUAGGUAGAAAUGGCACAAUAUGUGGUCUGAUUACUAGUUGCUCUGUAAGAGGCACUAUGCAUGAUUAUGCACUCAUACGAGGUGGAUGCAUGUGGUCGCUCAUUGAUCUGAAUGCAUUAGGAUUGUCCUAUUGACCAUGGUGACUAUGCUGAUCUUCAGGUGUAGCUUCCAUGAUGUUCAAGCACAAUUCCAACUCUAUUUCGUGAGGUGUUUCAAUUUUUACAAGUCUUCCUCCACUGUCUCAUAUCCAAUAUGGCAUACACAACUAGUAACAACUGUAACAAAAAUAAAGAAACAAAAGAAAACAAUACUACAAAAAAACUAAGAUUAACUAAAAACUAAAUUAAAAGAUAGGUUAAAAUAUGAACAAGUAAAAUAAACAAUUAAAAAGAGUUAGUAAAAGAAAAGAAAAAUCACCAAAAUUGUGAUGAAGAUCACAAGUGUUUUGGAAAAUGUUAUAUCACUGUAAAGUUGGCACCAUCCCCGGCAACGACGCCAUUUGAUUCGUGCCCAACUGGUGUAUGUCCUGUUGAUUAGUGUUCAAUCAACUAGUGUACUCUGAUUUUCGGUCCUCAGACGGGAGUAAUCAACAAAAUUUAUAAACCUAUUUCACCAUAUACUAGGGUAGCAUUAGCUAGCAUAGCAUAGUGGCUCUAGGAUCGUCCACAAGGAUGGGUUUUCAAAUUACAAUUGAUAUCAGUUCAAAAACUGAAUUGAUGUCUUUUCUUUUCAAGGUUAGCUUUAAAAGAAAACAUAAAUAUGUUCAAAAAGGUUGGUUUUAAGUGAAACAAAAAUAAAGUAACUGAAAUUACUUACAAAGAAAAGUGCUUCUUGGAGUUUUAGAUCACUAGGCUCAAGUUCCUUAUACAAAAAAGGAGAUUCCGGUCACUUGAAUAUUUUCCUUGCAUUAAGUAUUUAACAUAUAGUUAUUUCCCGAACCGGUGUGGUACAGAUGAUUCCCCUUAAUGGUUUCAAACACUAAAUCCAUGUCACUGAAUCAUUUUGCAAUGGUUCAUAUCUCUCACCUAGUAUUGGCCAUUCAGGGUGAUCCUUAACCUUGGAUUACCCGUCAAAAGCUCGCAAGAGAUAACUAAUGGAUGUCUCAUAGGAGUCCAAAAGCUUACCAAGUGUUGGCUAUUCUAGAUAAUCCUACCUUUAAACCACCUCCUAGAGGCUCACAAAAGAUAAACUAGUGUAUCUCAAUGGACGGAGACCACUUGCCUUACCAAGUAUUGGCCCAGGUGAUUUUAAGGGAUUUUAAGUUAACUAAAAAGAUAAAAACCAUUAACAAGUCACACUUUCUUUUCAUUAAAAACUGAAACAAUGAAACUUCCAAUUUUUGUAUUCAGAACCUUACCUAGCUUCCUUCACUCCAAGAAACAAAAAGCCUACCCACUCAUCCUCUAGGAAAACAUCCUCAGAGUUUGAUUGGCUAGAAAUAAAAAUAAAGAGAAAACAAAAUGAGAAGGUAAGGCAAAGCAAAGCUCUGUGUAUUACUUUUUGAAAAACUAUACAAAAAGUCGUCUCUGAAAAAAAAAACUCCUGAGCUCUCUUAAAAGAAAAUUACAAUAGAUAUUAUAUAGAGAGGCUAUUCACACCUCCUGCUAACUUCCCAACCAAGAAAACUCGUCAUUGGUGGGUUACAAGGAGAAAAUAGGGAUUUACACACAAAUAUCUGAAGAUAAAUAUCAAACGGACUCGGUGCGCAAAUAUCUCAAAUUACAGGUGGAUUUCGCAAGUUGAAAUUAUCCAUUUCGCAAGUUGAAAUUAUCCAUUUCGCAAGUUGCGAAAUUGUCCUACAACUUAUCAGCUCUCUAUCUUGUAGCGAUUCCUUUCCUCUUUCUAUUUCACAAGUUGCGGAAAUUUCGCAAGUUGGAUUCCACAACUUGUGAAAUUGUUGGAUGGUUGAUUUCUUCUGUGCUUUUCUUCCUUGCAUCCCCAUUUGGCUUUGGCAAAGGGUUAUGAAGCUCCAAAGCUUAGUUUCUUCAUGAAUUUGAGCUUCAACUUGGUUUGCCAUGAACUAUACAAAGAUCUCCCUCAUUCUUGGAUUGCUUUGGUGAUAAAAAAACUAUCAAAAACACCAAAACUUAACAUAAUUUGAUUAGAAACGAUUGCAAGGGUCCUUAACAUGCCAAUUGAGUUAAAAGGUAAUAACUACUACUCAAAAUUGUUUAAAAGGGUUAAUUACAAGCUAUAAAAUAGCACUUUUUGAGUAGUAAUCCCUAGACAAGAGAACCGCGAGAUUUUGAGGCAGUUCCAGAGCACUCAGGCCCGUAUCUCCAUUUGGAGUCUUUUGGCAUCAUCUAUUUCUCACUAGGAGGCACUGGUUAGGGCGUUGAGCCAGAUACGAGUUGAGGCAUCUACCUCCCUUGAUGGAUUGAUCCAUAUGUUGACAGUUGAUGGGGCCACAUACAUUGUCUUUUCUGCUGAUGAUCUAUCCCAUAGGCUUUUUUACCAUACUCUACCAUUCUACAUAUUUUGUUGGUUAUUCUAGGCAUCGAGUUCUAUUUGUCAUUUUGGACAAUGGCUCUGCCUUGAACAUUUGCCCACUAGCUACAACAAUCGUUCUUGGCUUUGGACCUUCAGACUUUGAGCCAUUUUCUUAGACAGUUCAAGCCUAGACCGCUAUAGAGAGGCGACAUGGUUUUAAAAGUCAUCAGGGGAUUGAUCAAAGAUCCUAGAAGAAAGUUCAAACCUAAUUGAAGCAGACCUUAUUUCAUUAGGGAGCUGACCCUAAAGGGCGCUGCAUGGUUGAUGGAUCUAGAUAGAAAUCGAUUCUUGGAGCCAACCAAUGUAGAUUAGUUGAAGAAGUAUUAUGUUUGAGACCAUGGUCACAAAAUGGGUGGCCAUCAUUUCGGUUAGCCAUAUACCUUGUUAUUCCAUUUUGAUAUACAAACCGUUGCUAACCCAUUGAGCCUCGCAUGUGCAUUAUAGUUUUUCUUUCUUAUUGCCUUGCUCACUUCUUUACACCGGGAUAAGGGUCCUUUAGUGUAUGUAUGCAUUGUUUGGGAGUCUCAUGAGCCUUGGGCCUAUGGGUGCAUCUUUCUCUCAUUAUUUUUCCUACCAUCACACUACUGCAUUCCAUCAUAUCUCAUUGGUUGUGUUAUUCAUCUCUUUUUUUCUUUAUUCUAUAUCCUACUUUUUUUGCUUCAUAUUCUUUCCACCCUGAGUGGUAAUCUUCCUCAAUUCAUUACAUGGAGGAUAGUCAUAUCAUUUCCACUAUCUAUCUUAUGGACACUGAUUUAGAGAUCUUUAGUUUGAGAAGGUCAUCUCGUUAGAGAGAGUUUGUUACUUUAGCCCUUGAGAGUAUGUCUAUCCAUUAUAGACAUCAUCUUUAGGGUUCAUUUGUUUAUGUUCAAGGUAUGUGCAUUUGUAUAUAUGUAAAAUAAUAAUAAUAAUAAUAAUAAUAAUAAUAAUAAUAAUAAUAAUAAUAAUAAUAAAGUACAUGUGUGUAUGUGCAUAGUAUUCUCCAUCAUCGAGCGUGUAUAUUGAUAUCUGAGGGUCAUUUUAUCGAGUAUGUUUGUUGUUGAGAGUUUGUAUGUGAGCUUUCUGAGAUCCUAUUUUCUUUGUGUUCACUUUGUCUUUGAGAGUGAGAUGAGUGGCCUUCUCCUAAGGGCUCUGGGUCAUUGUCUUUUCCAUCAUUACAUUAAUUGUUGAUGUGACUUCACUCCAUGUUUGAUUUGAGUUUAUCAUCACUUUUCUUCAUAUAUUCAUCGUUUCGCUAUCAUCAUCGUCAUUGAUUGUGAUUCAUCCUAUUCACUUCACCCAUUUGUUUCUUUUCUUACACUAACCUAUUCCAAGUUUGAUAUUUUCCUUGCAUCAUUCUUCUGUAUCUCAUUAUCAGUUUGAUUUGCCUUAUUGUCUCAUUAUUGAUAUUAUGUUCACAUUGGGCACCCUCAAGUCCAUGGCUCACAAGCUUUUCUAUACAUGUUGUAUUUUAUACAUGAGGACAUGAGUUUUUUAUUGUUGGGUAUUUAGGCCUAGUUUCUCUUUGUUUCUAUUACCUUAUCAACCUAGCCUGCGUUACGUCUCGUGUCUUAAGACCACCUGAGACCAUGGGAUCAGAUGUCGUCUUCGACAGCCCUUACUUGGACAAGUAUUUGAGAUUUGGUUGAUAUUUAGAUAUCUUCAUGCUUCUUCUUUUGGGAGACGUCUCUUUGACAUUUGGACCUGAUUCAGUUGUGGAUAUGGAUGACCGGGAUUGCACAUUUGAUGAUGGAUGAUAUGAUGUUGUCUGAUUUUUCUGAUCUACCACACAUCAAGUGUCAUACUGGGGCAUAUUCUGUUUUGAUUGAGAUCUAUAGAUCUUCAUGGAUUUGUAUGAUCAUCUCCACCUAUGAGAUGCAUGUUGAGUCGAUGAUAUAUUGUCGUCUUAUCAUGAUCCCCUAGUAGAGUUUCUCUUGAGCUAUCCAGUCAGGCCCACACUUUUCGUUAUUUAGAUGUCAUCGUACUUCUUCUUCUAAGAGACACCUUGUUUGAUCAUUAGAUUCGAUUCAGCUAUGGAUUUGGAUAACUGAGAUCACACAUUUGAUGAUGGAUGAUUUGAUAUUGUCCGAUUUUUCGACCUACCGCACAUUUGAUGUCAUACUGGGGCAUAUUCUGUUUCGGUUGAGAUUCAUAGAUUUUCAUGGAUUUGCAUGAUCACCCCUAUUUACGAGAUGCACGCCAAGACGAUGACCUAUUUGCUAUCUUAUCAUGAUCCCCUAGUGCAAUCUCUUUUGAGUCAUCCAGUCAGGCCCACACUUUUUAGCAUUCAGAUGUCAUCAUGCUUUCUUCUGGGAGAUGCCCUUUUGACGCUUAGAUUCGAUUCAAUUAUGGAUGUGGAUGACCAGGAUUACACAUUUGAUGAUGGAUGAUUUGAUGUCAUUUGAUUUUCCAACCUAUCAUACAUUUGAUGCUAUACUAGGGCAUAUUCCGUUUCGGUUGAGAUUUAUAGAUCUUUACGGAGUUGCAUGAUCACCCCCACUUACUAGAUGCAUGCAUAGACGAUGACUUGUCGUUAUUUUAUCAUGAUCCCUCAGUGGAACAUCUCUUGAGCCAUCCAGUCAGGCCUGCACUUUUCGAUAUUUAGAUGUCAUCAUCAUUUUUCUUCUAGGAUAUGUCUCUUUGAUCGAUGGGCCCGAUUCAGUUAUGGAUGUGGAUGAUCAGGAUUACAUAUUUGAUGAUGGAUGAUUUGAGGUCAUUUGAUUUUUUUUGACCUAUCACACAUCUGGUUCCAUAUUGGGGCAUAUUUCCUCUUCGGUUGAGAUUUGUGGAUCUCCAUUAAUUGGCAUGGUUCAUCUCCAGUUAGGAAAUACGCGUCGGGUUGAUGAUUUGCUUUCAUUUUGUCUUAAUUCUCUAGUGGAGUCUUUCUUAAGUCAUUCAAUCAAGCUCGUACUUUCUAAUAUUGUCGUGAUUCUUGGAUGGAGUUAUCUUAGAUGCACAACCUCUCAUAUCAUCAUUUUAGUGGAGUACAUGUCAGAUCUCUUAUACAUCCCCAUUGAGUUAUUCUUGAGUUAUCAAGAUAGACUGGAUGCCCUAGUUGCUAUACUGGGGCAUAUUUCCCUCUUUUAGCUGUGGAGAUGAUUGUUUUCUCACAAACCUAUUACAGUCUUCAUCACUCGGCCGAGGGAUAUUUAUUUGCAUUACUAGCCACAAUUUUGAUGAUUUUUGCCAAGAUGAACUUUAGAGGAGCACAACCUUUUGGGUUUUGAUUGUCCCACCAUCCAUGACUCUUAAGUAAAUCAUUGUGUUGAGGUCACAGUAGUUACCCCAGCAGACUAUUCUCUUAAGACUCCCUAGUUGAUCAUUCAUUUGAGAUGAUGAUGGACUCCUCUAGCAAAGCAUUUUGAGUUAAAGGCGUCUGACUUAUUGUGACACAUCAUCAGGUCUCAUGAUUUAGUUAGAUGGAUUGUGAGGUCGUACUUAUAGUCGAUAUGACUAGUCCGACUCGCUAGCAGAGCCUCUUUUGAGACUCAUGGAGUCUCUUUCAGACCAUUUCAACGGAUUGAGAGUUGUGGCGGCACGCUACACUGGGGCAUAUUUCUCUCUCAUCAUUUCCUUGCAGCUAUGGUGUUCAAAGCCACCAUCUCCUUACAGUUCGGUAUUCAGAGCUGUCAUUUCCUCGUAGCUUGGCAUUCAGAGCCAUAGUCUAUUCUCAGUUACGACGUUCAGAGUCGUCCUCACAGUUUGGCGUUCAAAUCCAUUAUCUCUUUUCAGUUUAGCGUCCAGAGUAACGUUUUCAGCUUGGUGUUCAGAGCCACACCUUUGGUUUGACAUUCAGAGCCACCAUCUCGUUUUCAGUUUGGCGUUCAGAGCCACCAUUCUCAUUAUAGUUCAGCGUUCAAAGCCACCAUCUCUUCUUAGUUACGACGUUCAGAGUCACUAUCUCUUUUCAGUUUCAGCGUUUAGAGCCACCAUCUCAUUCUCAGUUUCGGCGUUCAAAGCUACCAUCUCAUUUUCAGUUUGGCGUUCAAAACUGCCAUCUCUUUACAGGUUGGAGUUCAAAGUCGCCAUAUCUUCUCAAUUACGACAUUCAAAGUCGUCUUUCAUAGUUUGGUGUUCAAAGUCACCAUUUCUUCUCAAUUUCGGCGUUCAGAGCCACCAUCUCUUUUCAGUUUGGCAUUCAAAGCCACCAUCCCUUUUCAGUUUGGGCGAUAAAAGACACCAUCUCUUUUCAGUUUGGCGUUCAGAGCCACCAUCACUUCUUAGUUAUGUCGUUCAGAGCCGCCAUAUCUUCUCAAUUAUGACAUUCAGAGUUGUCCUUCACAGUUUGGCGUUCAGAGCCAUCGUCUUUUCUAAGUUUCGGCAUUCAAAGCCACCAUCUUUUCUCAGUUUGGCCGUUCAGAGCCACCAUCUCUUUUCAGUUUGGCGUUCAGAGCCACUAUCCCUUCUUAGUUACGGAGUUCAGAGUCGCCAUAUCUUCUAAGUUACGACAUUCAGAGUCGCCCUUCAUAGUUUGGCGUUAGAGCCACUAUUCCUUCAUAGUUUCGACGUUCAAAGCCACCAUCUCUUUUCAAUUUGGGCAUUCAGAGCCACCAUCUCUUUUCAUUUUGGUGUUCAAAGCCACCAUUCCUUCUUAGUUUUGGCGUUCAAAGCCACCAUCUAUUCUUAGUUACGACGUUUAGAGUCGUUCUUCUCAGUUCGGUGUUCAGAGCCACCAUCUCUUCUCAGUUUCGACGUUCAAAGCCACCAUCUCUUCUCAAUUUCUGCGUUCAAAGUCACCAUCCCUUUUUAGUUUGGGUGUUCAGAGCCACCAUCUCUUUUCAGUUUGGCGUUCAGAGCCACAAUCCUUUCUUAGUUACAGCAUUCAGAGCCAUCAUAUCUUCUCAGUUACGACAUUCAGAGUCGUCAUUCAUAGUUUGGCGUUCAGAGCCAUUAUCUCUUCUCAGUUUCGGCGUUUAGAGCCAACAUCUCUUCUCAUUUUGGCAUUCAAAGAUGCAUCUUCAGUUUGGCGUUCAGAGCCGUAUUUUCAUUUUGUUGUUCAGAGCCGCAAUUCCAUUUUGACGUUCGGAGCCUCUUCUUAGUUACGGUGUUCAAAGUCAUCCCAUCAUAGUUUGGCGUUCAGAGUCACCGUCUCUUCUCAGUUUCGACGUUUAGAGCCACCAUAUUUUCUCAGUUUGAGCGUUCAGAGCCACCAUCUCUUUUCAGUUUUGCGUUCAGAGCCACCAUCCCUUCUUAGUUAUGGCGUUUAGAGCCGCCAUAUCUUCUUAGUUACAACAUUCAGAGUCGUCCUUCACAUUUUGGUGUUCAGAGCCAUUAUCUCUUUUCAAUUUCGACGUUCAAAGCCACCAGCUCUUCUCAUUUCGAUGUUCAUAGCCACAUCUUCAAUUUGGCGUUCAGAGCUGCAUUUUCAUUUUAGCGUUCAGAGCCGCAUUUCCAUUUUGACGUUCGGAGUCAUAUUAUCAGUUUUGGCCUUCAUUGCCACCUUUUCGACAUUCAGAGCCAUCAUCCCUUCUUAGUUUGGUGUUCAAAGCCACUAUCUCUCCUCAGUUUCGGCGUUCAGAGUCACCAUCUCUUCCAAUUUCAGGCGUUCAGAGCCACUAUCUCUCCAUAGUUUGGCGUUCAGAGCCACCAUCUCCUCUUAGUUACGGCGUUCAAAGUCACCAUAUCUUCACAGUUAUGACAUUCAUAGUCAUCCUUCAUAGUUUGGCGUUUAAAGCCACCGUCUCUUCUCAGUUUUGGUGUUUAGAGUCACCGUCUCUUCUCAAUUUGGGCGUUCAAAGCCACCAUCUCUUUUCAGUUUGGUGUUCAAAGCCACCAUCCCUUCUUAGUUACAGUAUUCAGAGCUGUCAUAUCUUCUCAGUUACAACGUUCAUAGUCGUCCUUCACAGUUUGGCGUUCAGAGCCACCGUCUCUUCUCAGUUUUGGCGUUUAGAGCCACCAUUUCUUUUCAGUUUGGCGUUCAAAGCCACCAUCCCUUCUUAGUUAUGGAGUUCAGAGCCUCCAUUUUUUUACAUUUUGGCAUUCAGAGCCGCCAUAUCUUCUCAGUUACGACGUUCAGAGUUGUCAUUCUUAGUUUGGGGCUCAGAUUCAUGUCUUUAGUUUUAGGCGUUCAAAGCCACUCAUCUCUUCCAGUUUCAGGCAUUCGGAGCCACUAUCUCUCCAUAGUUUGGCGUUCAGAGCCAUCAUCAUAUGUCUUCAGUUUGGCGUUUAGAGUCAUGUCUUCAGUUUUAAGCGUUCAAAGUUAUGUCUUCAAUUUGGCAUUUAGAGUCACCAUCUUUCCUCAUUUUGGCGUUCAGACCCAUUUUUCCUUAGUCUUAUCAUUCAGAGUCAUAGCUCUUGGCAUUCAUAUUCACUGGCAUUGCACAUCUUGCCUUCACAAUUUUACAUUUGUCCUUAUUUUCCUCACCUCAUUACCUUGUGCUUAUCGCUUGUUCAUCAUCCUCUUUUAGACUUCCCCUUCCACUACACAUGACACAAUCCUUUGAGUUCACGACACUUAUUUUGGUCAUGUUGUUGGUCACCCUACACUUAGUGUUCUCAUGUAGUUCACAUAGGGCAAUCCCCUUUAAAUGCAUUCUUUCCUGUACUCUAAGGUGGUUCAAUCGUUACUCAUCUUUGACAUCGAUUUUCGAGUCACUUUUGGAGAAAUCUUAAAUAGAGUCUGGAUCCCUAGUGCAACUUUAGAGGCACUCUGAGAGCUACCCUUCUCUUAGGAUUUUAGAGCCUUGAGUGAGCUUGUGUUCUACUUAUGUACCUUUAGGGGUCUUUCUUUUUCUUCAGUAGAGUUCACUUUAUUUCACUCACUUUUCACACUUUCUUUUCACUCCAGUGUUCAUAUUCUUUGCACUUAUGAACUCUACCGAAGAAGGGCAUAUUUGUAGACCCCCUCGGAUAGAAGAAGUCUUUCUUUUCUUCUGACCACCCCAAGAGUGGGCUGUUUUGGGCGGCCAGAUGGGAUUGGAAAUGAAAGAAAAAUAGGGCAUGGGUGAGCUGUAUUAGUGGCUAGAUGGGAUGGAAAGAGAAAAAAACAGAUGAAGCGAUUUGGGGAUUGUCGGGAAAGCUUAAAAUGGGGCAAGAGAUGUUGGAAAAGGGUUCUGAAAAAAAAAAAAAAAAAAUUGGGGGUAGCUAGAAAAAGGAAAAAUAUGGGAGUAGGGAGAAAAGAACUUGAGAAAGAAAUGAGGAAUGGAUACUAAGAGAGAGAAGGCUAAAACUCAUAAAGUUUUGUUGCUUGGAGGAUUCCUUAGGUGAGUUUGCUGGAUAUUUUCUUGUUCACCUUCAUUUUCUAUGCAUAUUGCCUUCUUCUUUUGCUAUUUGAGGUUUUGGCUUGCUCAUUUGAUUACAGCUAACAUAGUUUGCACAUGAGUUUUGCUGAUUUUUGGUUUGUUCAAUAUGCUCAUUAUUAUUGUUUCAGUCACUGUUCUUUGUAGCAUUAUCUGAACCCUAUGAAGGUCUGUUUCACUUGGCUUUAUUUGGAAAUUUGGUUGUCGUUUUUUUUGUUUGUUUCAAUAUGCUUGCCUUCCUCCCACCAAUCUGAGUCCCUUGGAACGAAAUGUGAAAUGUAGCUUUCACAGGUUCAUUUUUGUUUUUUUUUCUUCAUGCUCUAUUUUCUUAUCAUCCUCCUCCGUUUUCUGUGGGUUUUCUGGGUGCAUAGCAUCAUGUGUAUCACCAACUGAUGAGAUUAGAGAUUGGCUACUGGACAUUUGAUUAAGUUAAAGAAAGAAGGGUAGGAAAAAGUGUUUUUUUAGAGAGGCUGAGAAGAAAAACAGGGCUUUCGAUGUAACUGGUGGCGGCGAGGCUAGAAGUGGUGACAAGGAGGCACUUGACGGGUCCAGUCGCGAGUAAGGGAGAGCAAAAAUUGAGGAUGGUGGGUUAGAUUCUGAGGACCGGGAAUUCAAGAACGCGAAAGAGAUGUACAAAGCUGAAAUCAGAAAUAGAGCAAAUCCUCACAAGAAGACCAAAGGGUACUGUAAAGGCGUCGGCUACUGGGAAUGUGUGGAGGCAUCGAUGGAUCGUGUAUUGGGUGGAUACAGCCAUGUGAAUGAUGUGGAUGUUAAGUGCAAUGAAGCUUUCCUUAAAACACUAUUCUAUGAGCGGUUCGUUGAUGCUAGAAGAAUUCAGCAUCUUAUUGCCCUAGAUUGUGGUUCUGGCAUCGGAGAGUGACUAAGAAUUUUCUUAUAAGGUAUUUUAAUGAGGUUGAUCUUGUUAAGCCAACAUCACAUUUCUUGGAGGUUGCCCGUGAAACUUUGGCCUCUAGAAAGCUUAUGUCUUCGGAUAUGCACAAGGCAACCAACUUUUAUUGUGUUUCACUUCAAGACUUCACUCCAAAAGUAGGGAGAUAUGAUGUUACAUGGAUUCAGCGGUGUAUUAGGCAGCUUGCAGACGACGAUUUCAUUUCAUUCUUUAAGAGAGCAAAGGUUGGACUGAAACUUAGGGGAGAAGCAGACUGAUAAAAAGUUAAUGAGAUGAUGGAAAGGUUGUGAGGUGAUGAUUUCUUUAACUUUAAUACCAAAAAAAAAAAAAAUGAGUCCCGAGGGAUGCUGGAGGACAUGUCAUGACCUAGGCAUAGAAGCCUAAUGUGAUCAUGAAGCUUGCAGUGAUGGAAAAUGCAUUAAAGGAAAUGGUCUCAAGGGGUUUUCUAAAAUGCAUUUAUUAGAUAUUAUGGCUUUUUUUGGUUCUCUGACAGAAAUGGAAGCUAAUUGAUAUUCUUUGAAUUUGAUGAUCACAAUGAAGUUGCUACUGACCCCACUUGAAAAAAACCACCAAAUUUUCCACCCCUGGUUGUAUUUAACCACAUGCAUAAAGAGCUUCCACUUGGAAAUGGCCAUAGAAAAGUUAUUAUUGUUGGGGAAAACAACACCACAUAUUGCCCACGUGCCUUUAUUUAUUUAUUCAUUUAUUUAUUUUUAUUUAUUAUUCUUUAUCCUCACACGCCAAAGUUUUAUUUUCACAAAUUCUCUUUAAAAUGAUUUUCAAAAUUCUGGUUUUUCAAAUAAUCUUAUUUUCAUUCCAAUUUUUAAAUUUAAUUUUCAAAAAAUCUAAUUCUCAAACAAUUUUCCAAAACCAAUUUUCAUAAUUUCCAUUUUUAAAUAAUUCUUCAAAAUUCCAAUUCUCAAAUUUAAUUUUCAAAACUCCAAUUUCUUUCAAAAAUUAAUUUUCAAAACUCCAGUUUUUAAAUUUAAUUUUUAAAAAUCCAAAUUCUCAAAUAAUUUUCAAAAUUCCAAUUUCUUUCAAAUUUAAUUUCCAAAAUUCCAAUUCUUAACUUUAAUUUUCAGAACUCCCAUUUUCAAAUAAUUUUUUUUUAAAUUCCAAUUUUUUUAAAUUUAAUUUUUUAGACUUCAAUUUUCAAAUAAAUUUCAAAAUUCUAGUUUUCUUUCAAAUAAUUUUAAUUUCACUCUAGUUUUCAAAUUUUUUUUUUUAUUCAACAGUUAUUCAUUCUUUAUUAGGGUUUUAGGUCACCAAAAAUCUUGAUUUUAAUAAGUUUGCUGCCAUUCUCAUUUUGGCAUGCACUUGUAUAAAUUUUCUUCAAUUUUCAAAUAAUUUUCUGUUUCUCUUGAUUUUAAGUAAGCAAGAAUGAGUUUUUUUUCAUAAUUCCAAAAUAAUGGAAUUUGUGGGACUAAUUCAUGCAAGAUAAAUUGGGCUUUGGUGGGGGCCCUACAUAUGAUCUCUUCUGAUUGUCAACUGUUAUGCUUAAUGAAUAUUGUAUGAUCUUUGUCUUGCUAUUUGAUAUGCAUGCGAUAUAUUUUGUAUUCAUUAUUGUGCACUAAUCCCACUUCAUGAUAGCGCAUUACUACUUGCUACCAACGUACGAUCUCACUCCCACCUUAUUUAUUCUCAUACAUGAUUCAUUUUAUUAUUUGAUCAUUUUGGUAUCCAUUAAUCUCUUAGUUAAUUUUCAUGUUUGUCUCACCUUAUUUAGUAGAAACUCAUUUUUAGGAACUUAAAGAGGUGUUUUCGGCCUUUUACCGUACCUUCCCAAUAAGUAACCUGACCCCCGGAUCCGACUCGGUUUUUCACAGACCUGUUUUCCCAAAUAAGGAGUCACACUUAAGGUUUUUUUUUCUUAUUUUGUUUUCCCUUUAAAAAUAAAAUAAAAAUAAGUGGCGACUCCAAAUCUUUUCUAAAAAUCAUAUUUCCAUCAAAUAAAUAAAAAGAGAGUUUUGCCCACCAAGUGGGAACACGCAUCGUGCGAAAUACAGGGUCCACAGUUUGAUAAAUUAAUUUAAUGAUUUAAUUUAAGUUAUGAAGUAUAUUAUGUUUUGUAAAAUCAAUGAUUUAACCAUCAUAAAUUUAUAUUUCUUGUCAAUUUUCUUCAUUUUUUUUUCAAUUUUCUAUACUAAUUUUAAGGUUAAAUUUAUAAUUAAAAAAGAAUUAUAUAUAUUAUUUUCAUAAUUAACAACACAAUGUAAUACUUUUAUUCAUAGAUUUUAAAUUAUUAAUAAAACUAAAAUCUUAUUCAUUCCAAAAGUUAAUUUCUUAAAUUAAAGGUACUUUGAUGGAAAGUACACUUCUAACCGUCCUCUCUCCACUUUAGAAAUAAGCAUUCUAUUCCAUCAAUAAAAUGCAUAAGAUAAAACUUAAAAGUUAAGGGCUUAAGGGAGAGAAACAUAGUUUCUAUUAUGUUUAUUGUUUAGUCUCUUCAAUAAGUUUUUCAAAAAAAAUCUUACGAAUUAAAGGUAUGUCUUAUCUCAAUAUUGUGACUAUGAACAUCAUAUUGUUCUAAAAACCUUGACAAUUAUGAUUUGUGCAAAAUUAUGGAAUUCGGGUUAUGAUUGUUCUAUAGAAUUAGAGUUAUGAUUGCUUCUUAGGAAUAAAGGUUAUUAUUGUUCUAGAAAUUAGGUUUAUUAUUGUUUUGCAUAAAUAAAGAAACCUUAACAAUGAUAUCUUAAAACAUUAUCUUAUUUAAAUAUAAUAUUUAAUGAUAUUAAAUUCCAUUAAAAAUAAUAUCUUAAAAUAGAUUAAAUAUAUUUCUUAUUAAAUAAGAUAUCCUAUUUUAUCCUCUUUCUAUAUUUGCAUUCUGAAUUUUCCAGAUUAAUUUAUAUAUUUUUAUGCUUAAAAAUUCUUUUUCAUUUUUAUUUUUUUUAUUUUUAAAGUCUGAAUUUAAAAAUUAAUAGCUGUUUUAAUUAAUUUAUUAUAAUUAUAAAAUAUAAUUAUUCCAAUUCUAAUUUAAUCUAUUUUUAUUACUGAUCAUUAUUAGUUUCUGCUUUCAUGGAAAGUUAAUAUUUCCUAGUCUAAAGUUAACUUUCCAUAAAUGCAGAUAAUUUUUUUCAUUAAAUAUCUAAAACGUACAGAAGGAAAAAAAAAAAAAAAAAGGGGGUGAGGUAAGAAGGGAUGAGAAAGAGAAGCAAGAGUUGGUUGAAUUUGAAAUGGGUUGAAAGGCAGCCCAUGAAGGUAAAAUUAUUGGUGGGUAUACUGAUCCUUGGGUUUUGUUUAGUGGGUUUGAGGCAUCUCGUCAAAUAUGGAAAUGGCUUUCCUUUGUUCGUCGCCUCCCAAUUCAUCCAUCUAUCUGGCAUCAUCAUCCUCAUCUUCAAGCUCAUCAAAACCAAGACUUGUUCUGGUAAUUCCAUUUUUUCUUCUGCUUCUUACUUUGAUCUUAUUUUCAUGUAUAUGUUAUGUUUUUCUUUUGAUUCCUUUCGAUUGUGUUAAUGAUUGAUGAAUUUUUAGAGAAAAAUAAAAGGAAAAAAAAUAUUUCUUUUUCCCUUCUUAAAAAUGCCUUCAUUGAGAAAAAGUUGGCAAUAAAAAUAGUAGCCUUUUAUUUGGUCUUGGGUUUUUACUUCAAAGAAAAAAAAAAUCACAUUUGUUCAUUAUUGGUCUUUGUUUUAUUUUCCUUUUUAUUUUUAAUUUUUAUUUUAACAUUGUUGAAUAAAAAGUGAAAUCCCUUAUGACUAAUAAAGGAAUUGGUGAAAAUUUAUAUGUUCUAUGUCCUAGUCUAUUACCAAGAUAUGCAAUACCUAAUAUUGAUUAGAAUACCUUUCUUAAAUUUCAUAUAAAUUCAAUGGGUAUUUGAUAAAAUCUAAUAUUUAUUAUUUAAUAAUUUAAAUUGACUUUAAGUUAAAUUAUACUUAACUUAUUAAGUUAAAACUUAUUACUUAAUUUUUACUUUUAAAUAUUAAGAUUCAUUAAUAAAAUUAACCUAAAUUUUAUUCUAAAUCAUCAAAUUGAUAUAUUUAUCCUCAUAAAUAUAUGAUUAGGGUAAAAGAAAGUUCGGUAAUAAUGAAGGUCAUGGAAUAGCAAAGAAAAUCGCGGAGGUAAUUAGGGCAAAUAAGAGCAAAAAAAAUAAAAUAAAGAUGUGAAAUUAAAAAUAAAUUAAUUAUUUUUACUUGUUAUUUAAAGUUAUUUUUUAUUUUAAGUCAUAUCAUUAUAUUAUUUUAUCAAAUAUUCUUAAUUUAUUUAAUAAUUUAAAUUAAGUUAUUAAGUCACUUUAAGUUAUUAAGUUGGUUUACCAAACAUCCAUUAAGGGUAGAAAUUAUUGAGGAUCUCUGACCUUGUUAAAGGAGAUGACAUAAGUUUUGAGUGAAUUUUGAACUUAUGUUAAAAAAAUAUAGUAAACAUUUAUACUAAUAAUAAUAAUAAUAAUAAUAAUAAUAAUAAGUGUUUUUAUAAUAUUUUUGGUAAUAUAUUAUAUAAUAAUAUUUAUAAAAAAAAUCAUUACUAAGUGAUGAUUAGAAAGUACUUCAAGAAAUUAUCUAAAAUAUUAAAAAUAAUUUUCAAAAUUUAUCAUAUAUCUAGUUUUUGUAAGAAGAUGGAAGUGUCAUCAAGCUUUUUUAAUUUUUUUUUUUUCAAUAUCACUCCCACGUAUGCUAUUACAUGUUAUCAACUUGAAUACAUAUAUAUAUAUAUGGCUAAUGCUCUUAUUUAAGUCUAAGCCACGAGUAUAUUGAUGCACCACCUCCUUGAUUUAUGAAAUUAAUUACAAGGUCUUUCUUCCUAAUUGUCUUUGAGAACAGUUUAGAACAAAAAGACAGAUAACAUAUUUGACAAUUAAAAAAUAGAAAAUAUAGUACUUUUAGAUAAUAUCUUUUAGUCGUUUUAACUUUUUAUUUGGGAAUGAGCAAAAACUAAACAAAAAUACAUUUAUAGUUUAAUGAUAACAAAGAAAAUUUUCUUCUAUCUAUCAAUAGGGGUUCAAAUCCCCUUGAAAAUAAUUUUUUUUAAAAAGUUUGUAAAGUUAUUUUAAAACAUAUUUAAAAAUAUAUAAAAUAAGUUAAAUAAUAUUCUAGGUUCCCAAAUUGACUUUUAUUUUACAAAACAUUAGAAAAUAAAUCAAAAACUAUUUUUCAAAACAAAACCUAAUUGUGCAUACAAAUUUUUAUCUGGUCAAAUUAAAAAUUGAUUAACUUUAAAAAAUAAGAUAUGUCUUGAGCUUUGAAUUUUGACAUGCGGUCUUGAGCUUGACAUGAACUCUUGGAGUGUUUUGGGUUUGGCUUGAUCCUUCGUGUGUCUUAGGCCUAAAUUUGGACUAUGGCAUGACUUGCGAUUAGGUUUGGACUUUGGCUUGGCCCACAUUCAUCAAGAGCAUGGGCACUUGAUCUCAAAUUGAAGACGUCUUAAUAUUAAUUUUGAAAUUUUAAACUUGAUCUUCCAAUUUUCAAGUUUGAUUUUUGAAUCUUCCCAUUUGGCCCCCAUUGUAGGAAUACCCACAAUAUGAUUAUAAGCAUAAUUUUUUUUUCUUUUUUAUGUUCAAUAAAUAUAAAAAUAAAAGAGAAUUACAUAUGUAAUAAAUAAAAUACAUAUAUAAAUAUAGACAAGAUUUUAACUUUUUUGGACAAGUUUUGCAUAUAGGGAGGGAUCAACUAAUCCUCUAGAACGUAAAAGAGGAAAGAAAAAAAUAAAUAAAAAAAGACUUUGAAUGUGGCGUCACGACUUUUUCCCCCAUGGAGGCACCCUUCAACAUUUAUAUAGAGAUUCCUUUUUUUUUUUUUGUUAAUCUUAUAACAAAACUUAAUUUUGCAAAAUAAUACCAAUAUCUAAAACAUCUUAUACAAUAUAUAAUUUUUUUAUAAAAAUCAUAUUUAAGACACUUUCAAACAUAAAUUAUGAGUGUAGUUAAUAGUGAUUCUAGGCAGGUGGUAUUUUUAGUAUUUAGUAUUUUUAUUAUUUUUAAUAUUUUUUAAGUGUUAAAAAAAUUAGAAAUACUCCACAACCUCCUGAUCAUAUAUACCAAAUUUAUAUGACAUCCUGUGAUGACUUGAUGAGAAUAAUUUCCUGCUCUUUCCUCAAACUUUGUUUAGAAUGCGUUGAAAAGUGGAGGGGGGGGGGGGCGGGGGGUGUUUUUCAAAUUCAUGUGAAGGGCAAGUAGAUAUGCAUAUAUAAUGCCUAACUGAUCUAGUAUCGUCUUCAGGGCUUUCCCUAAAAAGUCAAGAGCUGACAGCUACAGUGAUAGCAGCAAGAGCAUAUUGCAGUUUCGAAGUAGAAGACCAUACUUUUACACUACUAAGCUCUGCUAUAUUUCUUUCAACUCUUUGGGUCAUUUAUAUGAUCCGCUUCAAGUUGAAGCCUACCUACUCUAAGGAACUCGACAGCAUGCCCCUCUAUUCUUUGGUAAUUAAACCCCAUGCACCCCCCCUCCAUCCCCUGGCUUUAUUCUCUCUCUCUCUCUCUCUAAUUCAUUCCCAUGCAUACAUGCAUGGUACUGUUUGGACUUUCAGGUGGUGCCUUCAGCUAUCCUUGCUGUGCUAAUCCAUCCUCGUCAUUUCCAUCACAGACUCCUCACCAGAAUAAUUUGGUCUUUCUCUUUCUACUUGGGCGCCAUCUCUGUGCUUCCUCAGCUUCGUUUAAUGCAGAAUGCAAAGGUUAAUUAACUAAAUUUGUUGACCCAUUAUCCAUGAGAAGGUGAAUUAAUCAAUGCUUCACUCUCUUCUUUUCUUCAACUCCUUUCAGAUGGUGGAACCCUUUACCGCAUAUUAUGUGUUUGCAUUGGGCGUGGGAAGAUUUCUCAAUUGCGGUUCUUGGAUCAUUCAUGUGAGUAGCUUUGCCACCUCCUUUUUCACACUACAUAAAAUAUUAUCAAUAAUAUAUUUUCAAUUAAUGUCAUGCAGAUUUAUGAGACUGGGGGACAGUAUCUAAUGCUCCCCAGCAACUGGACGCAGUUGUGGGUUCUGAUGGUUCUUCUCUCAGAAUUUGUUGAUGCCUUUAUCUUGGCUGAUUUUUGUUACUACUAUCUCAAAAGGUAAUUAAUUGGACUCAACUUUUCAAACUACUCAUCAAUAUCACUUUUCAGUCUUCAGUCUUUAGUCUUAAUUCUUAAGUAGCACCAGCAUCAUGAUCAGUGAUCACUAAUUGGUUGAGAGUUUGUGACUUGUAGUGUCAUGUACCAGCAACUGCUUCUGGAGCUCUCUUCACCCUCCUAUUCGCUUGCAAGGGGAAAAAACAUUUGAUGUGCCCUAUUUUUUUUUUUUUUGGCUUUAUUCUUUGUAAUUUUUUUUUCUUUUUUUAACUCUGAAUUUACACAUGACCUGGUGGAAUAGGCCAUUGGUUAUCCAAAAAUUUUUCCCUUUUGUUUUUUUGUUUGAAACUUGAUAAAGAGAUUAAAAUUCUUCUUAGACCUAAAACAGGACAAAAUACCUUCCAGUAUUGUGAACUAUGUGGCUUGUUUAAUGGUAAAAACAUUGUGCCUCACCAUUUUUAGCUACUCCCUCACUUAUCAUUGGAUUGGACUUGUGCAAUAAUUUAGAAAAUUUAUAAAAGAUUCUUCCAAUUUAUCAUUUCCCGAUCCAAUGGAAUUCAUAUGUGUAAGAAGAAGCCCUGUCAAAUAGAGAUAUUUUCUUUGGAACAUAUUUCGACUGUUAAUACGAGAUAUAUAUAUAUAUAUAUGGACCGCUACUACAAAUAGUACUACACCCUUAAUAGUGAAAUAUCAAUUGUUAUUGAAUCUUAUGAAUUGCGUGAAAGUAGGAUGGUCCAAAUUCGAGGGUCAAAGAGUUUUAUUCUUGAUGAAAAAAAAUGUGUAAGUUUAUAAUAUAAAUAAUAUGGUUUGUUGGGGAGCUAAUGCAAUGGUUUCCACUCACAUAUUUGUUUAAAACAUCCAUUAAAUUAUUAAUUUUAAAAAAAAAUUAAAUAUAAAUUUUACCUCCUCUAAAAGAUUAUAUUUUACACAAAAGUACUAAGAAUUAUUAAUAUAUUUAGAUUUUAAUAAAAUUAAAAAAUAAUGAAUAAAAUCUUUCUCAAAUCUAUUUAAUAUCUGUAUUGUUUUUAUUUUGUUUCUAGUUAUUAUUUUCAAUUUUAUUUUUCAUUAAUUUAAAGUUGGUUUCUUUUUCUAAUUUUGAAAUUUUUUAUUUUUGAAAUUAUUUAAAUAACAAAUCCUUUACAAUUAACCUAUAUAAUUAUAUUAGAUUAUAUACUUUUUAAUUUUUAAUAAGAUUUAGUUUAAUCAAAAUUUUCAAAAAAAUAAAAUUGUCUUCAUUUAAAAUUAUAAAAUAUAACAUCAUUUAAUAAUAUAUUUUAAACAAAAUUGACCGACAUACGGAGGUUACCUUGUGGGAAAUAAAAGAAAUAUACCCUAUAUUCUCUUACACAGUAUAUAAUGUUUGUUAGGAAUGCGUGUGACCUGUUAAAUAUUACAAGUAAUAUUUGGGUGGCUUUGCCAAUCCACAGUAGUAAUCAAUUAGCAACUAGGUGGUAGUGCUAGUCCACAGAAGAUUAAAUGAGUGAGUUGGAUGGCUAUGUCAACCUUCAUAAAUUUAAAUAAGCAAUUGAGUGGUUAUGUCAACCUAUAGAAAUGAGUAAAUGGUGGCAGUGCUAGUCCACAAGAAAUAAAAUAUGCAGUUGAAAAAUAAAAUAGCAAGAAAAAGGAACACUCCAUUUACGUGAUAAAACCCUUAGAAUGAGGGAAAUCUCCACGGGGCAAAGCCGAUAAAAGAAUCCACUAUAUGAUGAAAUUGAGACAAUAUAUUACUCAAGUAUUGCCCUUACUUGAGUUUCACACACCCCAAGAUAUGCUCACAAUUGUCACAAUUUUAUCAGUCAAUGUUCUCUAUGUGAAACACUAAUUUUUGGAAGAAAAAAACCACAACAAUUUAUUGGUAAGAAAAAGGGUUGUGGCGGUGGCGGCAUGGGGUAACUGAAGCCAAACAAUUUUUGGUU
rnacentral:lncRNA from 1 species